UUCCAAACAUGGUUGUGUUUUUGAAUAAACAAGAUCAAGUUGAUGAUGAGGAGCUGUUGCAAUUGGUAGAGUUGGAGGUAAGAGAAUUGUUGUCUAGUUAUGAGUUUCCUGGUGAUGAUAUUCCAAUUAUCUCUGGUUCUGCUUUGUUAGCUUUAGAGGCUUUGAUGGAAAAUCCUGCUAUUAAGAGAGGAGAGAAUCAAUGGGUUGAUAAAAUUUACGAACUUAUGGAUAACGUUGAUAAUUAUAUACCAAUUCCACAAAGGCAAACUGAUUUGCCAUUUUUACUUGCUGUGGAGGAUGUUUUUUCUAUUACCGGUCGUGGGACAGUAGCUACUGGGAGGGUUGAGAGAGGUACAAUCAGAACUGGGGAUACCGUAGAUAUUGUGGGGUUAAGGGAGACUAGGAAUACAACAGUUACUGGUGUGGAAAUGUUUCAAAAGAUAUUGGAUGAAGCAUUGGCAGGUGAUAAUGUUGGGUUGUUGUUGAGAGGUGUUCAAAAGGCUGAUAUUCAGAGAGGGAUGGUUUUAUCGAAGCCAGGGUCAAUUACUCCACAUACUAAAUUUGAGGCGAUUGUUUAUGUUUUGAAGAAGGAAGAAGGUGGCAGGCAUUCUCCCUUCUUUGCUGGGUAUAGGCCUCAAUUUUAUAUGAGGACCACUGAUGUUACAGGGAGGGUGGCUACGAUUAUGAAUGAUAAGGAUGAGGAGUCAAAGAUGGUUAUGCCUGGGGAUCGUGUGAAGAUGAUAGUGGAACUUAUUAUGCCCGUGGCUUGUGAGCAAGGCAUGAGGUUUGCUAUCAGAGAAGGAGGGAAGACUGUUGGAGCUGGUGUUAUUCAGGCCAUUAUUGAGUAGGUAACACACCAGAGGAAAUAUGCUUUAUUGGUACUUUUUGGAUGGAUGGCGGUGUCAAACUUCAUACCCUCAGCUUUGUGCAAUUAGUUUUUCUCCAUUUUAGCAAAACUUUCGAAUCCCAUGCCAUAUAUUUUGCAGUUUUGUUCUUUUGCACUUUGCCUUAAUGCUUAGUUUAGUUGGAUAUCAUUCUUGUGAAAAUUCAAUGUGAUAACGUAAUCCUUUCUUGCUUUGGCUUCUAACUUCUUGGUUUCUACAAAUUUGGAUUGCAUGAGAUGCUAAGGUAGCUGAUGUCAUCCUCCUGUUUUUUUUAGGUUUUUUUUUUUUUUUUUUUUUUAAAUAAAAUUAUACUCUCUGUUAAUGGUGCUGUUUCAUUUGCUUGGUUCAAUUAGUGUGGUGGUUUGGUGCAUAUUGUUUUUUGUUCUCGAGCUUUUAUGACAUCAUAAUUGUGAAUGCCAUUGUUGAUUAGACUUAUAUUACCUUGAUGCGCUUCUACUCAGUCUUUAAUCUGAUAGUGUGAUGGAUUGGGGAACCAUAUCAACUCGCUACUAUUUGUUCAUAGUGAAUACAUUUGUUCAAUGUGCUGCACUUGCCUUUUGGAUUCAGCUCGUCCACUGUCAUUAUAAUAAAGGUACUUGUGAGAUGAAAAUAUCUCUUCAGAGUAUAGUUUUGACUGAAAUAGUCUAUAACAAGAUUGCUUUUGUACUUGAGAAAAUAGGUUCUCUGGAAUGGGUAUUUUUUCUUUUACUGAGGGAGUGUAAAGUUUUUACUUGUAGUUUGUUUGGGAGGAUGAAAGACAAUAUGAAGACAAAACAUUUGGGGCAUUCAUAUCAUGCUUAUGUUUUUGCAAUGCAACGAUUAACUCCCAAGUUAGUUUACAUAGCAAGCAGCUAGCUUUUCUAGAGAUGGACAUAUGUUUUUGCACUUGUGUAUCCACAGAUUGUGGAGGAGCUCUAGGCUCUUGGCAUUGAAGUGUGGUUCCCUAGUUUCCAAUGAAUCCUUCUUGUCAGACUGGACCUUUAUAUUUUUAAACAAGCCUGUUUAUGCUGGCUAUACUCCACCAAUUUCAUGUAGAGUUGUCUCCCUCUCCCUCUCCCUCUUUAUCUCCUAAUAUAUAUAGACCCUAAUCUUCUGUUUCCCAGUGCCUAAACUCCAGACCACCCAUUUUGUUGGAGUGUGACUCAAACAUUAAACUAAAGGAUUUCUCUUGUGGUCUUGCUUGAUUGCUUAUUUUCAUAUUUUUUUUGCAGUCUUUUCUCCCAUCCGUUCUUCCCAAUGAGGGGAAAGUGAGCUUCAUUACAUUUUGUUGUUCUGUCCUAGAGAAAAAUCAAUUUUUAGAUUACAAAACACUUCCUGUUCACAUGUUUUUAUGGCCAUUGACCAGUCGGUUUGUAAGUAUAAGUCGGGAUGUAUUGUCUAUUAAGUUUUCUGCAGUAAAUAGAGUGACAAAUUUAGUGUAUUGUCUAUUAAGUUUUCUGCAGUAAAUAGAGUGACAAAUUUAGUGUCAAAGUAGUGUGUUAUUGUUUUUGUGCAUAAGAGAGGUGAGGGGGGCAGUACUAGUAGCUUGUAUGUGCCCAAUUGUCACUUUUUUGAAUUCUUAGUAUCACAUGAUGCAGAAGUUGCAAGCUUCUUAAUAGAUUGGAUCCCUCCACCUGUUUUAGUGUCAUUAUGGUGUGGGGAUUGGAUGUAUAAAUGGAAGGUUCAUAUUUGCAAUUUACAGAGACCUGUCUUCCAUCUCUUACAGCUAUCUUGUUUGAAAGACUUUUGGUUGGCAGAUGCUAUGAUGCCUCCCUUCUCCUAUUUUACUUGAAGCAGAUUGUUGAUCUUGUCAACAAGGUGGUGUAACAUUUGGAAGUAGCAAGCAUGUCUUUACUGUUUUGUUCUUUAUAAUUGUUUCCUGUAAUUUGGCGUUCUCUCCUCAACCCUGUUAUAGAAAUGCCAGUCCAGUUGUUUUCCUGGUGAAUUUUGUUCUUUCACUUGGAACAACAGAACUGACUGAACAGAUCCAUGAUCCUAGAGAGGACGGAUCCUGUUGUAGACAGUAGUGGUAUUACUGACUACUGUCAUCGAUUUGUUGAGUGCCUGUAGCAUUGUUAAAAUGCUUUAUUUCUUUUCCACUUUUAUUUCUCUGCUGAGCUAUUAGGUGCCUCAUCAUCUUGAAUUCUAGGUCUGUUUUCCAGUUAUCAGUCAUCUCAGUAGCUGUGUAGAUUGUUCUGGAAAUGGUUUCCAGUUUCCGGCAGUAAUGUACAGGACAGCCUGCUUUGGAAAAUGGUUACCGAGGGUCCAAGGGUUAUAUAGAAAGGGAGCUAUUUAUUAGCAGGCAUUUGCGCUUCGCUCUUAGCAGGGCCAUCUAUUGUGGGCUAAUCUCUAUAGUUUCGAUUAUACAGGGUUUGAUUGAUCUCUAGGCUCUCUCCUUGUCCAAAUAAGUAAUAUGCUUGAGAUUUUGUUUUCUGCAAGAGAAUGGCUAGUUCAAGCUGGACAUGCAUAUCAAAGCUUUUAAGGAUAUUUCUUUUUUCCUUGUUGGGUUACGAUAAAAUAAGUAGAAGAAAAUUGCUAUUAAAAGUUCUCACCAAAGAAUAAAAGUACAAAAUUUGAGCACUUCAUUCUUCUGCCGUUUUGAACGAUAUUAAUGAUGACAACAACGUUCCGCUAACCCAACAACUAAGCGAACAUACAGACAGGUGCCAACUGGCUACAGAUGUGUGUUUGUGUGUGUGUGUGUCCAGACUUUGCCUUGCCUGUUUCUCCCUCCUUGAUUAUUGCCUUCCAGUUCGUAGAAAACGACUGCCUCUUAAUUUGGUUUUCCUUUUCCUUUUCCUUCUUUAUUUCCCUUUCCUUUGUAUAAAACUUAGGAUAAAUGGUGACCAAAAUCCCUGAAUUAGUGGUCAUAGUCACAAAACAAACUAAUAAUCUCACAGCAAUUAGUUUCUAAAUAAAAUUUGAGAAUUAAAUAGAUCCUUGUGCCAAUUCAUCCACUUCUUAACUAAUAAUACAAUCACAAGACUAGCACAUGUUUAUUCACUCAAAUUGAACGGAAAUCUAGUUUUUCUUAAUUAAUAGAAGGAAAUUGGACAAGUUUUAUCCAAAAACUCACAAAUCAAUACGAUAAAAAUAAAAAGGGAUUUCCUCUGCUUCCCUGCAUUCGCCAAUAAAAUGUGGCUUUGCUAGGUAAGCAGGCGUGACAACUUUGUAGUGGUGGAGAGAAACCGUGGGUCAGCAUCCUGAGGCAUAAAUACUCGGGGGUCUCUCAUACCUGUUCCAAAGAUCAGCUCCCUGCACUGAUGCCUCAAAUAUGUGGGAAUGCUAUAUUUAAAGCCUUCAUUCACCUACGUGAUGGCUUCUCGUACAAGGUUGGAAAUGGGGAGUUUUCCUUUUGGUUUGAUAUGUGGCUAGAUGUGGGUUCGGUUGGUUCACAGGUUGAUGUUGUUCACAUCAGUGACUCCGAGUUGAAAGUACAAGACUUGUGGCAAAAUAGCUACCGGAACUUUAUAAACCUGAUGACAAUGCUUCCAGAAUGUGUCAAACACCUUUCUACGCUAUGAACGUCACAUUUCUAAUACUCCCAUCCGUGGCUGCUGCAACCAGUGUUUUGCAUUGCCUGCGGGAUUGUCACUUUGCUAGAAUCAUACGGACAAAUAUGGGACUAGUAAUUAGUAAAUGCUCAUGGGUUUUGGAACAUAAAUGUUGUGGAAUGGUUUAGAUAGAUGGUUUCUUCUAAUGAUUCGUUCCUUUUUCUUUUGGGUAUUUGGUGGAUCUAGAGGCGUAGAAACACCAUUGCUUAUUAUGAGGAGAAUUAUGUAGGUGAUAAUUGGCUCAUGAGGCAAAUUCAUCUUUUUAAUAAGGAUCUUCGUGCAAUGCUUGGGUCAAGCAAGCUGUCAAUCUUAGAAAAGAGCUCACUAUCUCAUGGUGCAGGCCUGAUGAAGGGAAGAUUAAUUUUGGAGACCUCAUUACGGAUAAUGAAGGGAAGUGGCCUGUGGGUUUUUCGGGCUCUGGAGGAAUUGACACUAACCUGCUUCCAUAGCUUCUGGCUAUUAAACAUGGGUUAGUUCUAGCUUGGAACCAAGGCUAUAUGAAGAUCAUCUGCAAUUUAGACUCCAUAAAUGUCUUGAGACUAAUUCAUGAAGGAAAUUUGUAUAUAAAAAAAAUCCACCUCUAGAAUUAAGUGUUCUUUUUGUAGUUUGGAUGGGCACUAAAUAUCAUAGAGGAGAUUAAUUUUUGUUUCUUUUGUUUUCACCGUACCAUAAAAAAAAAAAAGGCUAAAUGUCGUAAAUAACAACAAAUGCCAAAGUUUCCGUUUCCAUUCCCACAUCGUCUUUCUUCAUUACAAAAAAUAGUUUCCAAAACUAAAAACAUCCUUCUGUUCGUUCGUAUAUAUAUAGAUAGAUUCUUCUGCUCACUCAUAUCUUUCGCUGGCUGUUCGUUUCCUUUCCUUUCCUUUUUGCCAUUUCCAUUUCCAUUUCCUUUUUUCCUUUCUUAUCUCUCCUCCUUGCUUUCUUCAGCAAAUAUAUCACAUCUCUCUCUCGCAAGUAUUUCUUCAUUAGCGAUUUCUCAAUAUAUAAAAGUUUAUUUUGUUUUUGGUCAUUGUUUUCAUAAUCACCCAUUGUCUUCUUAUAGAAACCAGUUUUCUUUCAUGCAAAAUACCUUUGUCUUGUAAUUUAUAGCUGUUCAAUACUGAGCCCAAAUAUUACACACCAUGUUAUUUGAACUCAGUAGUUGUCAAACUGGGUUUCCUUGAAACCACUGCUUAUGAUCAAUGAAGAGACUUUCCUAGAGAUCUAAGGUAAGGUUCUUUCUUUCUUCUCCUCAAGGCAAGAUCAGGAAUAUAUGCAGAUGGAGCCAAUGAAGUCAAAGAUUAGAGGGAUUUUUACUCAGGGGAAUAAGGAGGACUCUUUUGUUGGCAGAGGCACUAUGAAUAUUGUUGACGAAUGGGAAAUUAGGCCAGGAGGAAUGUUAGUUCAAAAGAGAACUACUGCUGAUUCCAAUCACAAUUCUGUUCCUGUUUCCACUAUUAAAGUUAGAGUCAAAUAUGGCUCUUCAUGUCAUGAGAUUAGUAUCAGUUCACAAGCAAGCUUUGGUAAUUUGAUAAUUCUUAAUUAAACCUCCAUGUCUUUGUUUAACUGAUGAUGCUUUGACUUCAAAUUCUUUGAAUGAUGGAGAUUAAAGGAGUUGGUUUUUGGGCUGCAGGGGAACUGAAGAAAAUGCUAGCACAACACACAGGAGUGCACCAUGAGGAUCAAAAGCUGAUAUACAAGAAGAAGGAGAGAAACUCCAAGGCGUAUUUAGAUACCGCAGGAGUCAAAGAUGGAUCCAAAAUUGUGUUAACUGAGGACAUUACCAGCCGCCAAAGGCGGUGUCUUGAGAUGCUUAAAACUGCUAAAAUAAAAAAGGGUUCAAAGUCAUUGCAACAGAUCACCGUGGAUGUUGACCGACUUGGCGAAAAGGCAAGUAAAUUUUACCUGAAAACAUACAUGGUUGCCUCUGGCAGAAAUCAGAUUUAAGUUUCUGAUAAGAGCAAAAUUGUUCUUAUUGCGAUUUGGUAGGUGACAUCCUUGGAAACAACUUCUAAAGGAGGAAAAAUUGCAGAGAAAGAUGUGGAUGAAUUGACUGCGAUGUUGAUGGAAAAAUUAGUAGCAUUGGAUGGAAUUUUUGUUGAGGGAGACUUGAAGUUGCAGAAGAGAAUGCAGGUAUUAUGCAACUUCUAAUUGGUCAACUAGCAUAUUUUCACUUCCAGUAAUGUUCAAGUUUUUGCCUUCCUUUGUCUUUCUUGAAGGAAAGGAGAGUUCAACAGUACAUUGAAACUCUUGAUAAGCUGAAGUUAAACUAUUCUACUGCUGAUAGCAAUGGAGGAAAAAUCCCAUUGCAGGAACAAGAUAAUUCAAUGGGUAAAAUGCCAAUACCAAAGCAAAGGCCAAUUCAAAGCGAAGGACGCAAAAUCCCAUUGCAGCCACAAGAUAAUUCAAUAGGCACAACGCCAAUAGCAAUGCAAAAGCAGUCAAUUCAAAGAAAUGGAGGCAAAAUCCCAUUACAGAAACUCGAAAAUUCAACUGGGAAAAUGCCAAUACCAAGGCAGAAAGAGUCAGUUCAAUCCAAGCAGCAGAAUGCUACAAUGCAAAUGCCAACACAGCAGCAGCGACCAAUAUUGAGGCAUUCUGAGUCUUUUGUGGUGACAACAACAUGGGAAACUUUUGAUUAAGCUGCGGAGCUAAUGUUUCUGCGAGUUCUAAGCUGAAUUGGGAACAGUUAAAAGAAAAAAACGGUUAGCGAUGCGUGGCUCUCCAUCCUUAGAUGUUGUCAGUCUCUCUGGUUCCUUUACUCAUUCUUGCUGUUUUAGGUUUAUGAUCUGUUUUUUUUUUUUAAAUAAACUAAAUUGGCUCUUUGCAAAUUGUAUAUAACAUAUAGCAAAAUAUGGUGCAUAGCAAAGGAAGGAUUGUUUUUUAUGCACUACAACAUGUUAUAAGAGUAGUUAGAAGGGCAAGUAGAAUUAUAUUUUCAUGUAUUUGUUGCAGAAACUGGUUGCUGUUGACUCAAUCCAGGGACCACAGACCAACCAAUCUCGUGUUCAUACUCCAUAGCCUAUACUCGUUGGUAAUUAACAGAGAAAGAAAUAAUCCUUGUGUCUUGGGACCAUUGCCCCAAUCAAUCCCUCUUUAUCCAGUCAUUUAUUGCCUCUAGCAUCUUAUAAAUAUACGGUACUGGUCGGUGGAGAAGUAGAUUAUUUCCGAUCUGGAUCGUAAAAUUCUUUGUUUCUACAUGCGGGGAGGGGGGGGGGGGGGGAAGAGACUAGGGGGAUAAUCUUUUUGUAAUAACAAGGUUAAACUAAUCAUUCCAAAAUGAUAGAAAGGUAGACUUGACUUCGGAAGGCAGGAUAUAUGGUAGAGUAUUGGAAACAGGUAGAGUGGUUUAAUCAUUUCGAAGCCACCAUGUUCAAGUGUUUAAUAUAAAAUUUUAAUAACCCAUAUUAAGUUACUCCUGAAAAAAUCUCCAUCACAGCCGUCCUCUCUCUUGCUGAGAUAAAUAAAUAAAUAAAUAAAUAAUACACACACACACAUACAUAUAGGUUUAGGAAACUAUUGGCUUGACAUGAUGGGAAUACCAGAGAAUUCAAAGACAUUCAUGUGCAUUUAUUUUUACAGCCUCUUCCAAUAAGAGUAGGGUUUACUGAAGUUUGGUGAGGUGACAUCAUGUCAAAUGUUACUCGUCAGAGAAAAAUCAAUUUUCAUGCUCAGUGAUUAUGAAGACUUUUAGUAAAUAGUUCAACCAUAAUUGUACUUCUAAUGCCAGCCAGUUGUUAAUAAUGGUGUAUUAGUUUUUUUAAAAUUUUUUGAAAAUUUUGAUUUUUUUUAAAUUAAUUAUUUUUGAGUGAUUUAAUAUUGUUUUAAUGUGUUUAUGUAAAUUAAAUUUUAAAAAAAAUAUUUUUUUAAUAUAUUUUUUUUAAAAAAAUACUUUAAAAAACAAUUAUUAUUAAUUAUAUUCCUGUACCGGAAUGGAUGUUAGAAAAGGUGACAAAAGGGCUGUCUAUUUUGUUAUAUUUUUAUUUUCCCAGAAGUUUUUGUUAUUAAACAUGUAAUCAUGCUUAUAGUUAAGCAAAUAAGGGAUGAAAAAAAGAAGGAAAGGAAAAAGAAAAGAGGCUCCAUGGUCACUUGAGUGGAUUGCAAAACAUCCAUGAAGAACUGAAGGAGUCAGAUCGAGAGAAUACGAGGGAUGAUAAUUGCAAAUACUAGGGAUUUCUUUUCAUGUGAUGCCUAAAGAGUAUUUGCCGACUCAAGGUUCUCUCAAACACGUCUGAAUACUCCCAGUUAAUUAGCUUUGGAGUAAAGAAAAAAGAAGGGGCCAUGCUUAUUCCGUCUUUUCUUUGUUCUUCCUUUCAUUUUCCUUGCGGACAAAUCCAUCUGAUGCCAUCGGAAUUCUCUUCUGUAUGAUGGGGCGUGCUUACAUUUCCCAACUUUAUUUCAUGCCAAGAGGGGAAAGCAAAUACUUUGCUUUUUCACAAGUCUUGCCGUGACUGACCCUUGGGAAAUGGGCCUGUUGUGAACUGGAAAGGAGGAUGCUAGAUGGUACCCCAAGAAAGAAAGUCGCAAAUUUCCUUCCUCGACAAACACUGAUAUUAAAUCUAGAUGUUGAUAUGUUAGACUUAUUUAGCAGUCGGUAGUCACAAGCUCAGAUCUAAGAAUCGGAUUGGAGACUGGAGAGGAGGCCAAUGCCGAUUAUUUUUGUCUAUACCAAGUGUGGGCAUAGGCAAUUCUGGUCCACAACUUGUAUUUGGUGAUUAUGUUAUUGCUUUCUUGAGUUCUCCAUGGCAUUAUCAAUUCAUUUUAUCUUAUACUUUAUAACAUUUUCCCUCUCUCCUUUCUUUAAUUGGCAAUGGCAAGAUUUUCCAAAGUGAAAAUUCUAUGCCUCACUUUUCUUUUCCUUUUUCCCUUUUCUUUUCCAAACCCUCCUCAGCCUAUUGUCUUCCUUGCAAGUACAAUAAAUGGUUUAGUAAGAUUAGAUGGUGCAUUAUAGAUUAGUUUAUUGAUAUUAACAGGAGGAGAAAUGUUCUUCCAGAUUGAGUCUUGGUACAUGAGGUUUUCCAAAUCUUGUUUACAUGGAUUUUCAUAUUUUUAAUGUCAUUCCAAUUGAAGACAGUGAGAGUGAAGCUCUAAUGAGGCAUGUUGCAAACUAUCAAGUAAAAUAUUGCAAACUAUCAAGUAAAAUACUAAACAUUAUUGUGAGUUUUUCAUUAUAGUUAUUUAUAAUAAAAUAACAUUUUACCUUUUAUUUUUUAAUUUUUAAAGCUUUAUUUGAGGGAUAAAAUGUUCUUUAUAUGCGAUUAAUUUGUUAUUUUUAUUUUUUUAGGAGCAAUACCGUCUACUAUUACCAUAUUGCUUCUAGAGAAUAAACAAUUAGAAUAUUUAUUUUUAUUUCAUUGUUUCUGAUAAAAAUUUUCUAUCAUAUUUUUUGCUGGUACAUAACAAUUCCGUCGGUUUUCUCUUUUUUUUUCAUUUCAUUUUUUCUAGUAGUGAGAUUUAUAGAACGUUCUCUUCUCUUAAUUUUAUACGAUGCUUAAUUCCUCUGAUACGAUCAUGCAAAUAAAAAAGAGCUUCACAUGAUCAUGAUAACAACAUCUGCGUACCUCCAAUGAACAACUUACAUCAUAUGGGACCAAGCAGACAUGCAAAAAGGGUAGCCAUUAUCAAGCUUUAUGGUUAAUAAGACAUAGCAUAAAUGGGAGCUUUUAUUACAAGUUGGACUCGCAUGGACGCAGAAACAAUUUUGAUGAUGCUUACACGAGAACAAAUCGUCUUUUUGUUAGUGAAAGCACAUGGUAGGCGCAACUUACAUGAAGAUGAUAAAUCUAAUUCUACAACCAACCAUUUCUUCUCAAUGAUGAUCGAUUCAUUCUGUCAGUGUAUAUUUCCACAGCCCGUGAGAAAAACUAUAAUCGAAAUUAGGAAUUCAAAGGGACAUUUCCUCACCAACCAUUAGAGUAUGGCCCGUCUUGAUGACUCCUCUUAGACUUGCUUUGGAUGUCGCACUGGCUACGGCUUAUCAUAUUAAGUUGGCCCUUUGAAAUCUGGAUAUGGGCCUGUGGAACAGGUUAUGACUUGUGAAAUUAAGAACCCCAUAACCUCUCGAGUUGCCUCCCAACCCAAGCCUGAAGUGAAAGACCUUCUCUUCUUUUCUCUUUGAAAAAGAAAAAGAAAACAACAAGGCUCAAACCCUUUCAUGCUCAUGGUUUUCGUACAAAUUAAAUCUUGUCACUUAAUGUUUCUUUCGUGGGAGCCGUUAAAUUUCCUGCUGAGAUCGAUUAAAGCGAUGAUCAGUUCAUGGUAUAUGUUCUGUUUUGAUUAUCUUUGCUAUGCAUGUGCAAAGUCCACAUUGACUAUGUGCCACUCCAAUAUUUUGUUCAGAAAUUGAACUCUAACCACAAAUAUGUUAAUCUGUACGGAUCCGAAAUUGAUUAAUAUACAAAUGGGUUAGUCAUUUAAAUAAUUGAUGGAGUGUUUACGAGCAUGAUAGUGUUUUUUUUUUCAAAGUAUGAUGAACAUGUAAAUGGGUCAGUUAUCUAAACAUCUAUCUAGAUAGCUAGUGAUUGUUGUAUAUGUCUGGCUAUAAGAAUAUUACUUGCAUGUUGAAGAUUUUAGACACUAUGUACAAGCAAAUAAUAGAUGCAUGAUUAAAUGAAUAAACAAGAAGAUAUUACAAGAAAUCAUAACUCCACUAUUUGAUCAUGGCUGCAUUGUCAAUAAGAAUCAUUGUUACAUGGGAUUACCAAUCAUGAUUUCAUAAACAAUUGAAGGCCAAAUCCUCGUCACAUCCCUCGACUUCCUUCCUUCUAUACCUAGCGCUGGUCACCUAGGAUAAACAAACAACAAUAUAUUACACACAUGGCCCAUAAGCAUGCAGUGGUCAGACACUCUGGUCGAGUUGACUUUAAUGUGGGAGAGUGAUGGGGUUACACAAUAGGUGAUCAUGUCAUGUGGCUUGCUAGGACGGCCGAACAUCCCUCAUGUCUGACAUCCAAGUGUUACAGGCAGGGGCGCAUGAUCCAUCCAUUUGGUAUUAUAUAUAUGCGUGCACAUAAACAAUCCUACGUACAGAUUUGGCAUAUUGUUAGGCAGAUCGUAUCUCUCUUUCAUCUUACGAUCUCUUCGUUUGAGUAUCUCCUUGGGUUUGAAGGAGAUGUGUAUAUCUUAGAGGGACAUUAUCCAAGGAUCCUAGGAGUCCAUUGCCUUCCAUGAUUUCUGAGGCCAAAGAAAACCUAUUGAGCGGGCUAGCUCAUGUCGUUGUUUUGUUUCAAACCACUAUUAAGGAUCCCAUCCUCGUCGGGUUCGCAAUUUUGCAUGCCUAUGAAUUUUGUUUAAAAUUUCAACAUUAUUUUUAUUAUUGGAUUGAUCGUUCUUUCAUUCAUUCAUUUCUGCAAUACAUAUGCAAUGGCAGUGAGAUUACUUAAAACUACGUGUAUUAUUAAUGUCUAUAUAUAUAUAUAGUCAAAACUAAUCCCAAAAAACAAAAGAACAGUCACAAUUUAUAUAACUCUAUAAUGGGCUUGAUUUAUUCCCUUGUAUAAUACAGGGAAAAAAAAUAAUCUCUGAUCUAAUUAUUCCCCUAAUGAGAUUGGAUUUGGGUUAGUUAACCUUUCAUAUGAUACCACAUUGUUUGCGAACUCCUUGGAAUAUUUUAGUUAAAUCGACCCAUUAAAAUGGUGCAAAGGUAAUUAGUUUUCCUUCAUAUAUUGAGUUGGAGCACUAGCUAGGGGCUUGACGCACUUGAGGUCUAGCUGCUGUGGUCAAUCGUGUGACUUGUUCCGCUCCCGUCCCGGGUUUGACCCUCUAUGUGCACGCCUGUCACCCCCGCGGUGCCUUACCUGCUCCUGGGCUUGCAGGAUGUCCAGUGGGUCGUGGGGAAUAGUCGUGGUGCGCGUAAGCUGGCCCGGACACCCCACGUAAAUAAAAAAAAAAGAAGAAAAGACAUCACAAUUAAUUAUUUUUUAGCAAUAUCAAUUUAACAUCAAAUCAUGUGAUUUGCAUGUAAUAUUUAAAAGGAGAAACAACACCACAAGGAGAUUUAGAUUUCUUUUGUUAUUAUAAUGUCAGCGUCUCUCAGCGUACAAAAACACUAAUCAGUUUUUUAAAUUUUGAUUCAUAUAUUGUUUUUUUUAUCUAAUUGAAAUAAAACUAGUUUAUCCAUUAUUUUUGGUGCGUCGUUGCACGUGCUGGUAAUGGGUAGAGGUGCAUCGAUUACCAUGCUAGGUGCACAACUCGUUCCUCUUCCUUCAUGUAUGGGUAAUGUCAUCCACCGUUGAUUGUGAAGGGAGAUUGAAGCCAUCUAAGUUUUGGUUUAUUCUUAAUGGAGUACAGGUGGCAAAUAUUUACGAGAAGCAGGAACUCCUUAAUUUCUUAAUUAAUAAUCCUUUUCAUAAGGCAUGAAGAACGUUUUCGUGCAGUGGAUGGAUGAGGAUAGACUAGGAUUGUUAUAUAAACCGGUCCCAUUCUGGAAUUCAAGGGCUUGGCUUUUGUACUGUCCUUUAAUGAGCCAUAUCAGAGCCUGUUGUGGGAAAAUGUCUUUGAAAAAACUUAGAAAAAAAUAUUAUUUUAAUGCUCAAAUAAGAAAAUCUAAUAUAAAUUGAAGGCAGAUUAACAUUAAUGCAAUUCUUGCAUAGAAAAGUACUAAAAAUGAAAAUUAUGGUCCAGAAUUAAUAAAACAAAUAAAAUGCCCUACAAAGUCUAGAAAAAAAACAGGAAAUAAACUUUAACAUAAAAAAACUCGCCACAACCCAGAAGUACGAACCAAAAACAAAAAUGAUAUUGAUCUGCAUAAGAAACUAAGCAGAUGCAAUAUCUUUGGGCUUGCUCGUUUCAAACUUAGCAUCAUCUUCAUCAAAAUACUUGCUCCAAUGAGGAUGAUUCCGCCACACAAUGGUCAUUUCUUCAAUUGGGACUCCUUUGGUCUCAGGUAGCAGUUUGUAUAUGAAGAUACUCAUGAUCACCACACAAACUGCAAAGCAAAUGAACAAACCGAACUUCAAGUGACAAAGCAUUGCCGUGAAGAUUUGUGCAAUGACAAAGGUGAAGAUCAUGUUUACAGCAACAUUGAUACUCUGAGCAGCUGAACGGACUUCUAAUGGGAAGAUUUCACUAGGCACUAGCCAACCUAGAGGUCCCCAAGACCAAGCAAAGCCCGCAACAUAAACACAUAUGAAGGCUACCACGGCACCAGCGUAGGUACCGGAAAUCACACCUGGGUUCCCGCUCACUCCAAACUUCAUAGCAAUGGCAAUUGUUAUCACAACCUACAAAAAGAAAGAAAAGGACAGGAAAAAAUAGCAGACAUUGUAAGUCACAUGAACAUAAUGUAAAAGCAAAGAAUUGUGUAAAGAUCAAUGAAAACUAGUGUAUAUGCGUUGUUGAAAAAAAGAUGAGAGCUAGUGACCAACCUGGCAAAUGAGCAUUUGGGUACCACCCAUGAGGAAAAGCUUUCUCCUCCCCAACUUAUCCACCGUAAAAAUCGAAACAAAAGUUGCAACCAUAUUAACGAAACCAGUAAUCAGAGAAGAUAAAAGAGAAGCAUUGCUCCCAAAACCAAUGGUUUUGAACAAAACAGGAGCAUAAAACACGAUGACGUUCAUGCCGGUGAGCUGUUGAAACAUGGGAAUGCAGAAUGCAAACACAAGCUGAGGCCUAUAUUUCCUCUUAAAUAUGUUUAACCAAGCAUGUUUCACCAAUUUUGCUUUCUCACUGGCCUCGACAAGAUCAUUGAACUCCUCAUCGACAUUAUCAACAUCGCGGAGUUUAAGAAGUAGAUCUUUAGCUCUUUCAUAAUUGCCUCGCUCUAUCUCGGAAUUCGGCGUAUCAGGAAGAAAGCAUGAUCCUAAAAGAAUUAUUAGACCAGGAACUAUAGCGCCACCCAAACUCAAGCGCCAUGCCAUAUCUCCUCCAAUCAACCUCGCAAAGGCAUAGUUCAAAGAAUUGGCAAUGAGAAUACCAAUUGUAAUAAACAAUUGGAACAUCAUGUUGAGAGCACCUCGAUACUUAUAGGGAGCCACUUCAGAGAGAUAAAUUGGAACUGACUGUAAUACAAGGAGAAAAAUUAAGAAAGAAAAAUUAACAAAGAAAGAACAGAAAAGAAAACUCAAGGCAUAUGUACACAUUAAAUAAACACAAGAUUUAAAAAUUCUUUAAUUUCUUUUCCAGAAUUCGGUCAGUUUAAGAACUGCCAGAAUCACAAAACAAAAGUUCUAUCGUGAAUAAGGACAUUGACAAUUUAGGAAAAAAAGAAGAAGAAGAAUAUAUUUCCUUACAAUCAAACUCUAAAGGAAAACAUUGUAUACAUAUAUAUAAGCGGUUAGAUUCAAUCUAGCAUUGAGAGUAAAAUACCAUUUAGUGAGUGUUUUUCAUGAAAAAGAUAAUUGUAAAUAUAAUAGCAAAAAAAGAAGAUUGAUUCUUGAAGAGAACAGUGUACCUGAUUGGCACAUCCAAUGCCAAAACCAAGUAAUAACCGACCAACAAUAAGCAUGACGACAUUCUUGGCUAAGCCAUUAACGAUAGCACCAGCUGCAAAAAGUAAGCCACUGGUCAUCAUCGUAGGUCUCCGUCCAUACGUCCUAGUCGCCAUAGAUGCUCCUAUGGACGAAACAAGGGCGGCCAGGUAUAGAGACGAAGUAAACAACGUCAAUAUCUGGCUAUCAAACUUGCAGUAUUGAUCAUCUGACGGCUUGACUGAGGAUUCCUUCUGGUAAACAUCAGGAAAGAAGUCCUUCAAGAAAACAUCCAUAGAUGUUACACCACCUGUAAAAAGAAAUAUAUUAUUCAGGUUUGCUGUCACCUUAAACGAUGUAAACAUAAACUACACUAGUACGAAAUUAAGUACAUAUUUCACAGAUUCUCAAAAACAAGUGAUACGAUUAUUACAUCUUCAAAAAGAAACUAAUUAAUUAUACAUUAUUACGUACCUGAAAUACCAAGAUCAUAACCAAAAAUCAGACCUCCUGUUGCUGCAAAAAGGCACGUGAAGAACACCCUGAAAGUAAACUUUCCAGGGUAUUCCUUUCCACCAGAUGUUGGAGCGAAAGCCCCUCCAGCCAUCUCUUUCUUUCUUUCUCUUUGUUUCUUUUGUGUAUGAUUGGUGAGAUUCGUAAGCCAAUCAAUGGGAAGAGGGAGUAUUGGAGUGCUAUAUGAAAUUAUAUUUAUAGAGGAUAUAUAUUUAUAUAUAUAGUGAGCUGAUUUAACUGUAUCUCUACCACUCGCAAAUCCAAACGGAAAUAUUGUACUUGAUUUAUCCAAGAUUUAAAUGAUAACAUUAUCUGUAUCUCUAAAAUAUCUCAACAAAUUUAUACAUAUUUCUAUCCAGCGUGCAUGUAGAGUUGUUAUUGAAAUCAACUUGAUGUGAGAAUUGUAAGUUAGAAUUUGAUUAGGGUGGAAAUCCAGUUCAAAAGAUAGAAUUUCAACCGAGUCUUUCUCCAAUAUUUUAACAUCUUCGCGCGAGAAAUACUACUACUGUGAAUCACGUAUUAGCUGGAUCGUUGAUUUAUCUUAUCACUAUAUGUAUUAAUUAAAUUAUUUAUCUUAUGUAAGAAAAUCUUAUCAUUAAUAUUAUCCAGCACGCAACAUUUUUUUUUUUUUAAAUCUUGACGGACAUAGAAGUUCGAUGCUUGCUUGCUGCUUGGCUUCUUAGUUUUGGAACAGCUCUGCUAAUUUUGCUUCUCGAAACCCUAUCGGAAAUACGAUUCAUAAAACUUUAGGGACACGACAUAAGAAUAUAAUGGAAAGGAGAGUAAGGUUAACAAGUGAGAACUGAGAGGAGGCCCGCCCAUUGAGGCGGUGCUCCGUUAUACUAUUCCCAUUAUUUUUUAAUAAUUAAUUACCAAGUCUUUCCUUUAUUAAUAAUCUCUCAAUCAAUUUUAUCUUCAUUAUAUUUGAGGUCAUUGCAAACAUAGAGACGAAUGCUUAUAUGUUUUUUUUUCUUCUAAAUUCCGUACUUCCUUCCAAGUGUAGUAUUCAACAAUACAUCCAUGUACGUAUGAUUUGAUUCGAUCAUGAUAGUCUUUUUAUUUGUAAAUAAAUAAGUCUUUUUAGAAUGAUAAUAUUUUUUUGUGAUAAAGUUGUAUAAAUAUUAUAAUAAUUGAUAUAAUAACAUUUAUUUGUAGUAUUUUUAUUGUAUACGGGAAUGUAUCGAAUUUGAUUCCCAUUAAAUCAAGAUGAUUAUUUUAAAUUUUAUUUCAUACAAUAACGAAUGCUAAAGUUUAUUCAAAAACAUAUUAACAAUAUGAAUUAUUUUUUAAUUAGCUUAAGAUGCAUUGGAUAAUAAAACUAUCCAAUCUACACUCACCUAUUCACCAAUUAAUAUUUGUUUGCUAUUUAUCAAUUGAAAUGAAUUAGAAAAGCAAAUAAAAAACAAAAUAAUUUUGCAAUAUACAUAUAUAUAUUCUAGAUGCAUAUUCGAUUUAAUUUUUUUUUAUAUGCAUAUAUAUAUAUAGAAAUUAGAAGAGUAUAUAAAUUUUUUUCUUUUAUUUAAAUAUCACAAGCGAGAUUCAAAGAUAGGAUUAGUUUGGUAUAAAAAGAGCACAUCAACUCGUAAUAAAAGAGGAGAUCACUUGCUCCUUGAAUAAUGUUUUUCACAAAAUUCAAUCUGAUAUAUUAAAUUAAGAAGUAUGAUAUAUAUAUAUAUAUAUAUAUAUAUAUAUAUAUAUAUCGACUUUCAAUUGCUUUAAAUACAUAUUAUAAGAAGUUUUGAUUCAAUUUAUAAUUGUUUUUCACUUUUACCUCUAUUUCUUUUCUAAAGCAUGCCUAGAGAGUCCCAGGCAAAUUGACUAUAUUUUUUGUUGGAUAAAAAAUACGAAGAACGACAAAUUAAAUGAUACAGUAAAAAAAGAAGCCGUGUAUGGCAUUGAAUAUGCGAGUGAUAAAAUAUUAUAUAAAUAAGAAAUAUAUUUUAAUUUUUUGUUCCUCUCUCCUUUCUUAAUUUGAUAUUUCAAUUUCUUAAGAAUAUAUGUGACUUCAUCUCGAACACCUUUAUGAAAUGCAUAGGCAUACUUGGGUUCAAGUGCCUUUUAUUUCAAUAAAUCUUAUUGUCUUUCUGUUUUCUUAAUUAUUUCAGGAGAUGUAUUUUUAAGUUCUAUCACCAAGUAUAUUUUUUUAUUUAUUUUUGUUUUGUUGGAUAAUUGUUCUUUCCUUGGUAAGUUAACUUUUUGACACCCUAUUGAAAUUUCAAAUAGUGUCAAUUUCUUGCUUCAUUUUCAUAAUUUUUUUCUAAUAGGUAUUAGCUUUAUAUAUAUAUAUAUAUAUAUAUAUAUCAUUUGCUGUUGUCAAUUUUUUUAAAAUUACGCCCACGAAUCAACCUAUUGGACUUUCUGCUCCUUUUCUUUUUGGUUAUAAAUCAUUAACAUUAAUCAAGAUUUAAUAAAAUAUAAACCAACUUGUCUAAUAAGAUCAAUAAUCAAAAGAUAUUUAGAUUGAAAACGGUGGAAUCGCGGAGAAAAAAAGGACCCACAAAAAAAGUCUGGGCCGGCUAGCAGUUCCUUGACAUGCGAAGCUACCAAAACGUUUUACAUUUUAAGAUUUUUAAUUUGGUUCUCGAAGUAACAUGAGUGGAACUCGUUACUCUAAAAAUGAAUAUAUAUAACCUUUUUUUUCUUACAAAUAUGGAUUGCGUUUGUAUCGAUGCUAUUUAAAAAAUUUUUCUUACAAAUAUGGAUUGCGUUUGUAUCGAUGCUAUUUAAAAAAUAAAAAAAAAUAAAAACCAUAUGUUUUGGAUACAUCGAAAUGUUCUCGAGAACCUCAAAUCUGAAAUGGAAGAUGGAAGCUCUGUGUUGACCUUCCAUUAUGAUUAAAGCUACUGUUCAAGAGGCAAAGGGGAAAAUGAUUAAGGAUUCUUUGAACGGAAGUGACCCAAAACUACAAAAACAUGUGUGACAGAGAAGGUACUGGUGGGCUGAUGACCAUGCAUGAAAUGUUGGAGCUCCUUGGUGGCCAGAUAUUGUCCAGAGGAAUAAUAUAUCGGCCGCCUAACCAAUCAAGUUUGAUUGGAAAGCCCACCAUGUAGUAAGAAAAACAUCCUUACAUUGGUUGGUGGUUGUACACGUUUUAGUUGGAAUAAAAAACAUGAAAACAAAGAGUUCCCAAAGGAAUCAAGAUACACUAAGAAUCAUUUCUAAUGUGACAUAAUGAGAAAACGCGGUCUGCAACCUUCCUUUUAUUAUUAUAUGUUGCAAAAAAAACAUUGAACGAGGCGCUAUUGUAUAAUGCUUCGAUCCAUUAGAAAGAGUUGUCGAUUAGUUCAUAAUAAUCUAAUUCAUUCAUAACUAUAGUAUGAUUAGAUGUUCGUAAGAUCAGGUUUUGUUAUAAAUUUUAUGUUUACUGAGAAUGGAGAUCACAAAGUGUCAAUUGACAUAAGAUUUUUCUAUUGGUGAAAUGUCCGUCAAUAAAUCUAUCGGUAUAUUUAUUAUAAACAAACUCAUUGAUAUUAAUAAUCUAGUUAUACUAUCAGAUGCACCAGUUUUACCAAUAAAAAUUUAUGUUGGUAUUUACACUCAUAGUCCGUUGAUACAUAUAUUAAUGACAGGUUCACGGACAGAAACAGUCUAUUGAAAAAACUCUCGUCGGUAAUUAAUGGUCUGUUAAUGAGUUCGUUGAUAAUAAAUAUACCGAUAGAUUUACUGACGGACAAAGUGUGCAAAAACAAUUUACCCGCUUCAUUCUAUUAGUAUAUCUCCAUCGGUAAAUUUAACAUUUCACCAACAGGAAAAUCAUAUGUAAUGUCAUCAAUGUUUUAUUUGUUAUUCGGUGUAUCCAUCAGUAAAUAUAACACUAACAAAAGAUCUUUUGUAAUUAUGUUGGUGAGUUAACAGUAACAGUGGUAUUUACAGUCUUUCUUUUCCGACUCUCUCUUGAAUAUAACGACGAAGUUAUUUCAAUGGUAACCCUAUAUAUAUAUAUAUAUAUAUAUAUAUAUAUAUAUAUAUAUAUAUAUAUAUAUAUAUAUAUAUAUAUCGAAUAGAAGUAGAAAAAUAAUUAAUAUAAAUUAAAAUAAUAUAAAAUCAAAUAUUUACUACAAAUUUAAAAAAAUUUAUGUUCAAAUACGAUAAAUCUAAAAUAAAUGCGGCACGGGAGGAGAAGGAGGCUAGUCGUCACCGGGACAAUGAGGUCAAUUAGGGGCUAUACAUGUACCACUCAUCAGUAAUCUCUUCUUCAUUACCAAUCAGCAGAGUUCUUUAUAAUCAGCAGUGAAUCGUUCACAUUUUUCAUUAAGAUAGGUUGUCUGAGCCUCUACUCAUUAGUCUAACAUCACCGCGAACACCGAAAUUUGAGUGCUCGAAAUCGAUUGCGAGCAUCCAACAACGUGUCAUGAUCAAUUCAUGGAUUAGAAUUAUAAUACAUAAAUUGAAUACAUUCUAGAGCUUAAUUUCUAAAAUUAUUUUCAAUCAAGUCACAUUUGAUUAAUUAUCCCAAUUUAAUUUAUGACUAAUGGUUCUUAAUGUGUGUGACCAAUUAAGUUCCCAAUAUGUUGGCUUAAAUAUAAAUUAUAAUUCUAAAAAAAUAGAAUUAAAUAAAUCAAAUAAUUUAAUUUAUUAUCAAUUCAAUAAUUGAUUAAUUUAUAUUUAAAGAUCAAGCUCACCGUCUAAUAACGUAUCAUGAACCUCAAAAUAUUAAAAAAAUCAUAAGUGGUUUGACUUAAUCUUUCAAUGAUCGGCUUCUCGGUGUAAUUAUUAUCCCUUCAUCAAUAAUAUUUUAAUUUAGAUAUUUUAAAAUGAAAUUUAUUUAUCAUAUUAAAUUAUUUUUAUUCAAGACAUUAUAAUCAUUAAUCAUUUAAAUAAAAUUAAAAACACUUUUCAAAUACCGUUUCACCACUUAACUCCCGGUCCUCGGAUUCAUAAAACCAGUAAAGAAGAUAUUGAGAGAAAACGUUGACGGUUUUGGCACCACUAUGAGAGAGGAGCAGAGACCAGCUAAGUGCUAGCUAGCCGGCCGCAAUGCGUGUGCGCCGCCCAUUAUUUAUCAAAACUCUCCAUUUAGCAAAAGAAGUAGCAGACUACUAGCUAGUAGCCUCAGCUAAACUAUCACUUUCCACUUUAAUCUUUCUAAGACUAAAACCCUAGCUAUCAACAACCAGCAUUACACACUGAAGGACAACGAUUUUUAGUUGACCCCCCACGAAAUCCCCACGCAUUAACGUUUUUACAACUCAAAUCUACGCAAAAUCACACGUAUAUAUUCUUUCUUCCUUGUAGCAAGGACCCUAUCUACCCAUAACCUCUAAAUUCAUCUUCUUCUAGACCAUUUUCCUUCACAUAUAGAUAUAUUUAUAUAUCCUCUACCAAUAUUAAUGUGCCCCAAAUAAACCAUACCACCGUUAGCAUUACAUUUUGACCCUAAUUCUCCUAUACUAGUGAACCCACUUGACCCUAUAUUGUCACAAUCUAUCCCUACAAACACAUGUGAAAAUAUCCAUCUCCAAAAGAUCUUCCUCCUCAGCUAGCAUUCUAAACCCACCACCAUGGCCACGACUUCUUCUAACUCCAAAAGGCACCCAAUGUAUCAUGGAAUCCGGUGCCGCGGUGGUAAAUGGGUGUCUGAAAUCCGGGAGCCACGCAAAACCACUCGUAUAUGGCUUGGCACAUUCCCAAAGCCGGAGAUGGCGGCAGCAGCCUAUGAUGUUGCAGCCCUGGCCCUAAAAGGUAAUGGUGCAGUUCUUAACUUCCCAAGUUCUGUUGGGACUUAUCCAGUGCCUGCUACGGCAUCAUCCACUGAUAUUCGCAAUGCAGCAGCUGCUGCUGCUGCAUUAAAAAAGGCUGAACUGAGCUACAAUGAAGCGUUAGUUGAUCAACCAAGAAAUGACCAUAAUGCCAUCGGUGCGUAUUUGGCAUCAAGUGGAGAAGAAUUUGUUGAUGAGGAGGCACUGUUUGAUAUGCCAAAUUUGCUGGUGGACAUGGCAGGAGGAAUGCUGCUUUCGCCACCAAGAAUAACCUCGCCACCGUCUGAUGAUUCACAGGGAAAUUCUGAUGGAGAAAGUCUGUGGAGCUAUUUUUAAUAUUGCUCCUUACUAUUGAUCUUUACAACUUCAUGAAUGGAUUAACAGCAUAAAGAAAGGAACAAGAGGAUACGGAAGUCAUUACUGUGACCUUUUUUUUCUUUUUUGGACGAUUUUUCCUGUCCUGAAGUAAGAACUGAGCAAUAAGAAAAUGAUGGAGGUUAGGAUGUGAAACGAAAACAGGAUAAAAAUAAAUAAAUCAAAGAGUACGUAGUGAUCAGUUUUUGAGUUUGAGACAGAGAGCAGCAAGUUAGGGUUGCAUUUCUUUCCAUGUGAGUGCAUUGUACAAUAGUCUAGCUAGCUUGUAAUUAAUAUAUUUUUUGGCUUUGCUUUUUAAGAUUGUAUGCGAUGAUGUUUACUAACUUUCUUGUCUCUUCUUUUUCAUUAAUUUCGUCGUCCUGCCUUUCCUUUUCUUUUUUGAAUUUCUUCUCGUUUAGAGUUAAUGAGAUGGACCACAGUUUCUUUUAUUUAUUUCCUCCGAUGAAAAGGAACUUAUUAUGUUGAGACAAAUUAAGCUGCUUUAAUUGUAAAUCAAUUAGAGCUAGCCCGUUCGGUAAUACAAUAUUAUUAUCAGUAUUUUUCCAAAAAAACGUUUUUUUAUCAAGAAAAGUUAUUAUUAUUUUUUUCCAUGUUUUAAUCUGAAUGGUUUAAUAUAAAGAUAUCAAAAUUUUAAAAUAACAUCAAUUUUCAUGUUUUUAGUUAAAAAAAGAUUAAAAAAAAACCUAAGGGCCUAUCUGAAAGCUUAAAGAAAGAUGGGGACUAAUUAGAACUAUCUUAAGCACAUUUUUUAAUGAAAGAAACUUGAAUUGACUGAGACACCUUUAACACGUAUUGAAGGGAAAAGAUUUGACACCUCUAGUGGUCACACGCGUCAUGAGGGCCUACAAGACUUUUUCGCCUCUUUAAGGAGACAAACAUCUCUUGUCAUAUCUAGUGGACCCUGAGAUAUAUGUGUGUGCAACACUCCCAAUCCUACUUAUUGGAACACUUGUAAAGUGUUGACCUCAUUCUGCAAUUAUCUUGUCUCCAAAUGUUCAGUGUGAUCUUUUUAAACAUACAUCUUAAUUUAAAAUUUAAAAUUAUUAUAUGUGACUGCAAUAAUAAUUUUAUAUUAUUCAGGUUUAUAUUAAUUUAUUUGUAUUCAGGAAUUUUACAUGUGUGAGAAGAAAGGAAUACAUAUACAAAAUGCUAAUGUUCUUAAUUUCACUAUUAAUUCUAAUUUAAUAACAAUUUCACAUAGGUGACAUAGUACUGAUAAGAUGCUUCUUCAAGCCAUAACCAUCAUUUAAUUAAUUUUAGAGUCAAAUAUUCAAAGUAAUUUAAAAAAUAGUGUUUAUAUCACUUGUAUGGCAUACCUAGGCUCUAAUGAAGCCCUAAUUAGUUUUGUUUACAGCUAAUUAAGUGUUUUGGCGAUUCUUUUCUUGCUAACAAACAACAACGGGGGGUCUCUUACACAAAUUUAGAAUGAAGAGAAAUAAAUAGAGUGGUUGUGACUUGUGAGUCGGCCAUGGAAUCCAAAAGGGUGCCUUCAAUUGUUGAGAAAAGUCGUAGUAAUUAAUCUGGCUAGGCAUGUUUUACUCAUGAAAUCGAAGAGAAACGAACAAUAUUUUAAUUUUGUGGCGCUCAACAUAUAUCUGAAUGAGCAGAUAUAUGACACAAAAAUUACAAGGAGCCGAAAUUCCCCCUAUAUCUUUGAAUGAGCAGGAGUUAGGUUUGACAAAAGGCAAGACAAGACAUGGCCGACAUUGCAUCCUUUGCUGUCUUCUCUUCACUUUCAUGGCCUGGUUGGUGAUGCGUCUCUCUCUUCGAUCGUCCUUCUGUCUCUCGAGCACAUACAGUGCAAUACGCGUGCAAGAUUACAAACACACACACACACACACAUACAAUGAAUUCCGUCACACAACCUUGAUCAAAACAUUGCUAUAUGUUUUGGUGAUACUCUCUAGCCGACUAGACUCUGUGAAAACAUAUCAAAAUUAACUGGACAAAACAUUUUUUAAUCCUACAGAUGCAGCACUUCAUUUUUCAAUAACCCAAUUAAGAUCCAGUUUGAAAAAAUAUUUUUAGUCUCCAAUCAUUAAAACUGACCAAACCCUAAUUACCAUUAAAAAAAUACCAAGUGCGUGCUAUGUUCUUUCAGCAUGCACAGUGAGUCCUUUCUUUGACUUGCUUUAAUGAGGUUUCUAUAGUAUUAGUAUUGUGAUAGUGUUUACUCCAAAUUAUUUUUAUAUUGCAAUAGGGCAUGCCUGAUAGAGAUCUGAUUAGGGAAACUGAACAAAUAAUUAAUCAUGGCCAUUCCAUUUUGGGUAACGUGGAAACUUAGCUACCAACUAAUAUUAUAUUAGCAACCUGAAUGGUUCGGUUCUCAAAAGAAGAGGAGGGGACAAGGAUCCAAUGUCGUAGACACAAAAUCUUAUAUCUUUUUGGUCUUGUUCUUUAUUUUUGUAAUAAAAAAAAAGAAAAGGAAACCUUCUUGCUCUUUUCCCGAUCGGCCCCCCUCUGCAGAACAAUAGCUAGGGUUUCUUGAACUCAGAGUUAGUGGUCCACCAAAGAUGUGCCUCCCAUUGUUACUAAUAUCAUUAUGUUCUUUUGGUUUGUUAGUUAUGAUGAUCGUUCCUUCUUUAUCUUUAUCUUUUAUUCUCUACUUGUUAAUUGUCAAUGAUGAUGGAUUUAAGUCACUUUUCGAACUUCAAUUUGACAGUCCAUGACCCCAGGUAGUCUAGAAUGAAGAUUUGACGUGAAUUUCUGUACAUUUUUUUACAUCAUUGCAAUCCACUGUUAUCCACUGUUAGUGUUUCAAGCUCUGAUUAUGAAACUCACAAGAUUGAUGAAAAACUACACACUUUAUUAAGCAAAGCGGGGCUGUUUAAAUACAGCUCUUUACAUAACAGAAUUGAGAAAUAUUAGCCACUACUUCUACUAUCUCUACUGUGAUGAUCCGCAGAUCAAAUCACCACAAAUGUAGCGUGAGAAUAGGUCCACUUCUUGACUACCACGCUAGCUGAGAAUAGCGUGGGAAUAGGUCUACUCCUUGACUGCCACAUCAAUUGAGAAACAUGUUAUUAUUCUGCACUUAUGCAUGCAUGCAUAUAUUUAUUCAAAUGAACUUAACAAAUCCUUCCCUAAACUGAGCAUGCCGUGUUUGUUCAGCUCAGUUUAAUGCCUUCUUCUCUUGUACUCCUAAGAGCAUGCGGAGUUUCACAAAAUCUUCAAGUUUGAGUGGUUUGGUCAUGAUGUCCGUUAUUUGCUCCUUUGUUCCACAGUAGACUAGUUCCACUUCUCCCUUCUUGAUCAAAUCUCUAAUAAAAUGAAAUCUCACAUUGAUAUGUUUUGUUCUUCCAUGUAGUACCGGAUUCUUAGACAGUUUAAUGGAUGAGCUAUUGUCACAGAAUACGGUAAUACACUUACAAUAAUCUUCUUCAACAUUGUUUAGAACUUCCUUCAUCCAUAUACUAUGACAUGCACAUGUGGUAGCUGCUACAUAUUCGGCCUCCGUAGUUGAUAGUGUGAUGAUUGGCUGCUUCCUGGAACUUCAUGCUACUGCCCCAUCUCCCAUCAUGAACACAUACCCGGACGUGCUUUUUCCUCCAUCUAAGUCUCCCGCAAAAUCGCUAUCUGUGUAGCCUUUGAGGAUGUUAUUUGAACCUUUCUUGUAGAAAACACCGAAAUCAAUUGUCCCCUUUAAGUACCGAAGUAUUCUUUUUGCAGCUAGUAAAUGUCCUUCUUUUGGCGCGGCCAUGAAUCUGCUUAAGAAACUUACAGCAUACAUUAUAUCAGGUCGAGUUGUCGUAAUGUACAUAAGGCUACCAAUCAAUUGCUUGUAUUCGGUGUUGUUUACUUCUUCUCCUUUCUCCUGUGAUGAUAACUUAGUUCCUGGAACCAUUGGAUUAUUAACUGCAUUGCAGCUGCCCAUUCCAAACCUCGUAAGAAGUUCACCUGCAUAUUUUUCUUGACACAAAAAUAUUCCAGCAUCCAUUUGGUGUACUUCAACACCCAGAAAAUACUUCAUCCUCCCUAGGUCAGUCAUAUCAAAUACCGAUUGCAUGGAAGCUUUAAAUUCUCUACACAACUUUAUAUCAUUGCCGGUAAAAAUUAAAUCAUCCACAUAGAGACUUACCACCAAAAAACUCCCUCCUUCCUUCUUUAUGAACAAGGUGUGUUCAUAACUGCAUUUUUCAAAACCUUCACCAUUGAAGUAGUCCUCUAUCCGACUGUACCAAGCUCUUGGAGCUUGUUUUAGGCCAUACAAUGCCUUUCUUAAUCGAUACGCUUUCUGCUCCUCUCCUUUCCGAAUGUAUCCUUUAGGUUGUUCAAUGUGAACAACCUCCUUCAGUUCUCCAUGAAGAAAUGCGCUUUUCACGUCGAGCUGAAAAACUUCCCAACUUCGUAGCGCAGCGAGAGAGAGUAUCAUCCUAAUAGUGUCCCAUCUGGCAACUGGUGAGAAUACUUCACUAUAAUCUAUUCCUUGUCUUUGUGCGUAACCCUUCACAACUAGUCGCGCCUUGUAUUUGUCGACUUCUCCCCUUUCAUUUAAUUUGGUUUUAAAAACCCACUUGACUCCGAUUUUUUUCAUCCCUUUGGGCAGCUCCACUAACUCCCAUGUAUUAUUUUUUUCGAUAGCCUGAAUCUCGGCAUCCAUAGCUUGUCUCCAUUUUAUGUCUUUCACCGCCUCAUCAUAGCUUACUAGAUCAUCUGCUGUAGUGUAGAGCACCAGAAAUUGAUCGUCUCCUUCCUCCUCCUCUGUGAGAUUUUCCCCAGUUACGUAGUCUUGUAAGUGUGCUGGAGCUCUACUAAUUCUCUUUGGCUGCUCCCUUCGAAUUGUUGAGAUGAUGAGGUGGCGUUUGCUCGCCAGGUGGCGUCUGCUCGACUUGCUUCACGGCUUGCUUCGUCGGCCUGAGCUUGAAUUUGCUCAUUUUCCAUUUGAGCGUUGCCAGCAUGGUCGUUGCCAGCGUUGCCUUCUUCGUCAGCAAAUGGCUCUGCAUCUUCCCAUUUUAAUUCCUCCAUGUCACCAUCUAUCCUCCCCCAAUUCCAAAUCUCCUCUUCAGCAAAAAUCGCGUCUCGGCUAGUGAUGAUUUGUUUGCUUUCUGGGUCAAAGAGUCUGUAUGCUUUAGAUUCUUCACUUACUCCUAAAAACACACAUUUUUGACUCUUUUCUUCUAGCUUGACCCUCCUUUGAUUUGGUACAUGCACGUAAGCAAUGCACCCAAAAAUUCUGAAAUGUGCCACACUUGAUUUCUGCCCAGUCCAGCAUUCUUCUGGAGUUGCAUCUUGCAGUGCUGCUGUUGGGCUUCGAUUAAUGAUAUGAACUGACCAUUUUGCUGCCUCUGCCCAGAAACUUCUAGGCAUUUUUCUUUCUACCAGUAGACACCGAACCAUGUUCAUGAGUGUUCGGUUUUUGCGUUCUGCUACCCCAUUUUGUUGGGGUGUGUAGGACGUGGUAAGUUGUCUUUUGAUACCCUGUGUGUUGCAAAAAUCUGAAAAGAUUUGAGAAUUGUAUUCUCCUCCACGAUCACUUCGUAGACAUCGAAUUUUCAGCCCUGUCUCCAUCUCCACGCUGGUUUUAAAAAACUUGAAUUUCUCAAAGGUUUCGCUCUUCUCUGUAAGUAAAUAAAUCCAUGUCUUCCGGCUGAAAUCAUCAGUAAAUGUCAGAAUAUACUGUCUGUUGCUCACGGUUUGUGGGGUUAUGGGUCCACAUAAAUCGGAGUGUAUUAGCUGCAAUUUUUCGGAGGCUCUCCAGUUAGCCUUUUUUGGAAUUCCUUCUCUAUGUUGCUUCCCUUUGUUGCGUACUUCACACACCUUGUGUACUGCUUGAAUUUCUGGUAAUCCGUGCACCAUUUUCUUAUGAUGCAGUCCUUGAAGCCCUCUCAAAUGAAGGUGGUCGAAUCGCUUAUGCCAAAGCCCUGUGAUAUCUUCCUGUAUUACUUGCAGACAAGCAUCGUUAUGUAAUUCAGCAAGCAUGACAAACAUGCGGUUUGUGGUCAUUUUUGUAUGCACAAUGAGGCCUUUCUUCGGAUGAAAAAUUUUGCAAACUCCCUUUUUCAUUAACACUGCUAAGCCUCUCUCCUGCAGCUGCCCCACACUUAACAAAUUAUUUGUUAAAUCUGGGACGUAAUAGACAUUGCUGACAAUUUGUGUCCUCCCUUAAACCUUCAGCUUCACAUUUCCUUGACCCAUGACUUGCAUCCUAGCAUUGUUGCCCAGCUUUACAGAGUGCGAAAAGCUCUCAUCCAAAGUGACAAACCACUUUUUGUUGCCUGUCAUGUGGUUUGAACAGCCUGAGUCAAUAAACCACACUUCUUCCUUUGUCAGCUCCUUUGUUUCACUGUGAGCCAUAAGGAGAAGGACAUCGUUUUCUAAUUUCACAUCUCCACCAUUCACUGUCACGCAAUCCAGUGCCACGUUACCACCAUUAUCCAGCUCCACGUCUCCACCAUUCUCUUUCACACAAUCCAGCGUCACAGCAUCUUCAUCGUCCUCUGUUGUAAUGUCUGCAGAUUCCAUUGGCUCAACGUGAGCCAUGAGAAGAAGUUCCUCUUCAUCAUCCAAUUCAACAUAAUUUGCAUUCCUCUCCCAAGUAAGACACUCAUACUGAAAAUGCCCUUGCUUAUGGCAUUUAAAGCAUUUCACAGUUGCUCUUCCAAAUCCCUGUCGUCCUCUGCCUCUGCCUCGACUUUGAUAGGUGGGACGUCUUCUUUCUCUCGGCUCAUUGUGGAAUCUGUCAUCUCCAAUUGAUACAUGCAAUGCAUGCUCCUCAUUGUGUUCUUUAUCUAGCCUUUUGAACUUGGCUUCAUGGACUACAAGUGAGCUUUGUAGUUCGUCAAUUGUCAUUGCGCUUACAUCCUUUGAUUCUUCUAUUGAAACCACAAUAUAAGUAAACCUUUCUGUCAAGGUUCGAAGCACCUUUUCCACCACCUUGGUGUCGGGCAUCGUCUCCCCAUUGCUCCUCAUCUGGUUAGCCACCGAAGUGACUCUCACAAAAUAUUCUGCAAUUGUUUCACUGUGUUUCAUUUGCAGAAUCUCAAAAUCUCGUCUCAAUGUAUUGAGUAGAGAUUGCUUCACUUUGGCAUUCCCCCCAAACUUGCUUUUCAAAGAAUCCCACACAAUCUUCGAUGUGCGCCUGUCCAGAAUCUGUUCAAAUGUAACUCUAUCUAUUGCUUGAUAUAGAUAGUGUUUCACUUGAUGAUCUUUCAUUUUUGCAUCAUCGAGUUGUGUCUGCUGCGCAUUGCUCAACGCAGUCCCCACGAUAGGCUCUUGAAUGCCGUUUUCCACCAGGCUCCACAGCCCCUUUGCUCGCAGCAAAUUUUCCAUCAACUCACUCCAAUGAUCAUAGUGUUGACCAUCGAAAUGAGGAUUUUUUGUUAAAGUCUUAUCGUCACUCAUUCUCACUCUCACUGUGUAUCUCUCGCUGCAAUCAAUCUGUCCCGUAAAGGCUCUGAUACCACUGUUAGUGUUUCAAGCUCUGAUUAUGGAACUCACAAGAUUGAUGAAAAACUACACACUUUAUUAAGCAAAGCGGGGCUGUUUAAAUACAGCUCUUUACAUAACAGAAUUGAGAAAUAUUAGCCACUACUUCUACUAUCUCUACUGUGAUGAUCCGCAGAUCAAAUCACCACAAAUGUGGCGUGAGAAUAGGUCCACUUCUUGACUACCACGCUAGCUGAGAAUAGCGUGGGAAUAGGUCUACUCCUUGACUGCCACAUCAAUUGAGAAACAUGUUAUUAUUCUGCACUUAUGCAUGCAUGCAUAUAUUUAUUCAAAUGACUUAACAUCCACAUCUCUAGUUAUGCAUAAAGAAUUGUAUAUUCCUAUGAUUGCCUGUAUUUUUCUCAGUUUGCAUUAUCGUGUUCGUUUUUUCACAAACUUCUAGCUCCCCUCCCCUUUUCCAUGAGAGUGUAUAGUUGAGUCAUAACUAUCGCAUUACAUCCAUAGAAUACACCUUUUAAAGCUAACUUCUAAUUGAUGAGUUCCUUGGAGUACUAUAAAAUUACAAAAAUCUUGAAAAAUCCCUCCAAUACUAUAAUAAACCCUUUUUGUUUAUAAAAUAUCGUCAAUUAAUAUUGAAAAAAAUAGUUGUAUUAAAAAAUUAAUUAAGCAAUUAAAGAAAGAAUAUAAAAAAUAGAUGAUAAUAGAGACCAAAGAACAAUAACAAAGAAGGGUUGCAGAGAAUUGUGUAUGUAUUAUUUGAAUGUUUCUCUGUACUGAGAUACAAUAACUAUAUAUAUACACAAGAAUAUGGUUAGUUUAGAAAUGAAAUAUAACAGAUACGUAAUGAAAUAUGACACAGAUACGUUUGAUAUGGUUGCUAAUAUCGUGCAAGGCAAAUCUCCUAUAAUCAAGGAAAUCCUAUAUAGAUGUCCAGUAAUCACGCUAACACCCUCCCUCAAACUCAAGGUGGUAUAGUAGAUGCCAUCUUUAGUUUGCGUAAGAGAUCCUGGAAACGACCUGGAAGAAGUGUUUUGGUGAAGAUAUCAAUUGUUUGUUGUUCAGAGGAGACAGAAACCAAUCUUAUGGUGCCAUGAGAAACAUGAUGUCGUACAAAAUGACAAUCAAUCUCGAUGUGUUUUGUACGCUCAUGAAAUACAUCAUUAUGAGAAAUCUGUAUAGCAUUUCUAUUAUCACAAUGAAGCAUAGUGGCAGAAGAAUGUGGAACACCCAUGUCAGUUAAUAGCCACCGCAACCAAAUUAAUUCAGAGGAAGCAUCUGCAAUAGCACGAUAUUCAGAUUCGGCACUAAAGCGAGCAACAACAGUUUGCUUUUUACUACGCCAAGAGAUAAGAGAAUCACCUAGGAAGAAACAAUAUCCAGUUGUAGACCGACUAUCAGUUGGAUCUCUACCCCAAUCAGCAUCAAAGUAGCCAGACAACACCAAUGAGGAGUUGGCAGAGAAGUGUAAACCAUAAAAUAGAGUGCCUUUAAGAUAACGAAGUAUCCGAAGCACUACAGAGAAGUGAGUGGAGCGAGGGGCAAACAUGAACUGACUUACUAAAUGAACAGCAUAUGAGAUGUCAGGUCGAGUAGCAGUGAGAUAGACAAGACUCCCAACAAGUUGUCGAUACAAAGUAGGAUCAGCAAGAGGAGUGUCAUCUAGAGGUGUAAGUUUGCAAUUGACUUCCAGGGGCGUGGACUCUGUUUUGUUAUCAGUGAUACCAGCACGAGAAAGUAAAUCAGAUGAAUACUUGGCUUGUGACAAGUAAUAGCCUUCAGAAGAUUGAGAAACUUCAAGACCCAGAAAAUAGCUAAGAUGACCAAGAUCUUUCAUCUCAAAAUGCUGACUAAGAUGGUGUUGAACUUCGGAAAUACCAGAAGCAUCAUCUCCUGUUAUUAUCAUAUCAUCAAUAUAUAUUAAUAGAAGAAAAACACCACGAUCAGUUCGUCGAAUGAACAAUGCAGAAUCAUGAGAACUGGAAAGAAAGCCAAACUGAGCAAGAGUGGAACUGAAUUUGGCAAACCAAGCCUUAGGGGCUUGUUUUAAUCCAUACAAGGCUUUCUGAAGUUUACAAACUUUAUGAGGAGCAUGAUAACCAGAAGGAGGAAGCAUAUAAACUUCUUCUGUUAAAUCGUCAUGAAGGAAGGCAUUUUUAACAUCCAUCUGAAAUAGCUUCCACUUUCGAGCUGCAGCAAUAGCUAAUAGACUACGGACAGAUGUUAACUGAGCUACAGGAGCAAAAGUUUCUUCGUAGUUUAUACCAUACUCUUGAGUGUAUCCUUUGGCAACCAAACGAGCUUUAUAAUGCUCAAUAGUUCCAUCAGAACAAGUCUUAAUUUUGUAAACCCAUUUGCAGCCAACAGGUGUCUUGUUAGGAGGAAGAUCAACUAAGUCCUAAGUAUGAGUUUUCUCCAAAGCCUGAAAUUCCUCACUCAUAGUUUGCUGCCAAAGAGGGUCAGUACUUGCCUCUCGAUAAGAUCGAGGCUCAUGAAGAGUAGUAAUAGCAGAAUAACAAUGAAAAUAUGCAAGAGAAUGAGGAGUUUCUCUUACCCGAGUGGAACGAUGAAGAGGAUUGACAGGAGUAGUGGCAGGGACAAGUGCAGGAUCAACAGCUGGUACAGAUUCAGGGGGAUCAUGUGGUAAAGAGUUAUCAGUGAGUGCACUAGAAUCACCUGGAUUAGUACUUGAAAACAAAUCAAUUGAGGAAUUAGUGAAAAAGAAAGAGUCAGUUUGGACAGAGUGGUGAAACUUUGAAAGACAAGAGAACAUGGUGUGUUCCCAAAAGACAACAUGACGAGAGAUACGUAAUCUAUUGGAAAUAGGAUCCCAACAUCGAAACCCCUUGUGUUCAUUCCCAUAACGAAGCAAACAACAUAGUCGAGCUCGGGGUUAUAAUUUUGUAUGUUCAUGAGGUUGUAAAAGCACGAAACAAGCACAUCUAAAAGGUUUAAGAACAGAAUAGUCAGGAGGCUGACCAAACAACUUUUCAAAAGGAGAUAAAUUAUGAAGAAUUGAAGUGGGGAGCCGAUUAAUAGUAUAGACAACAUUAAGAGCCGUUUCCCCCCAAAAUUUUUCAGGACAUGAUGCUGAAAUUAGAAAAGCACGUACAGAAUCAAGAAUAUGGCGAUGCUUUCACUCGGCUCUACCAUUCUACCGUGAGGUAUGAGGAUAAGAACGUUGAACCACAGUACCUUGCUUAUUCAAGAACUGAAGUAAGGAAAAAUCUCUAUAUUCCAUGGUAUUGUCUAUUCUAAGAAUUUUUAUGGAACAAGAAAACUGAGUUUUAACCAUAUUAACAAAGGUAAUGUAUAUUUGUGGUAGCUCAGAACAAUGUUUCAGAAAAUAUAUCCAGGUAAGUGAAGUGAUGCAAGCUCAAAUAAUCGACCCACUUUGCGACCCGUUCUAAGAAUCUGUCCCGUUUGUGAAUCCUGUACCUGAACACUAGAGGAAGAGAAGAAAACUGUUAGUUCUUUCUCACACAACUGACCAACUGAGAUAAGAUUGAGUGUCAAAUUAGGAAUAUGAUACGUUUCAGGAAGACUAAGAAUGGGGGUAGUUACAUGACCAGUAUGAGUAAUGGUCAUUUGAGUACCAUUUGCAGUAUGGAUUGGUGGCAAGGAAGAAACAGGUGUUUUAGAGGACAAAAGAUUAAUAUCAGUGGUCAUAUGGUUACAACACGCAUAGUCAAAAAAUCAAGGAGAGUUACCCGGAGUAGCAGACAUGGCAGUAGAGGAAUUGGAAGAGAUAACUUGUUUAACCAUUGCCUCAAGAUCACUCAUAGUGACGAAGGUAGAACCUUCAGUAGUAGCAGCAACAGUGGCAGAGGAAGAGCCAGGCUUUGACAUAAUUUUAGAUUUAGAAAACCCACCUUUUGGUCUUGGAGGACGUGUGGGACAGUGUUCAAGAAUAUGGCCAAAAGCAUGACAAUAUCUGCAUUCUACAGUAGGGUAAGUAGCAAAAGCAUGACCCAUUUGAUGACAAUUCUUACAUGUCUGAUUGCCAAAUUUCUGAUGUGAGGACCGAGUAGUUACAAGAGCUAUGUCAAAUUGAGGAGAUUUAUCCAGAUUGAGACGAGUCUCUUCAAAAAUAAUCUCCUGAAUAGCAGUGUUUAAUGAAGGGAGUGGAUCCCGAUGUAGAAGAGAGGCUCGAACAUAUUCAUAUUCAGGUCAUAGAGCCAUGAGUACCUGAAUGAGAUGCAAAUGAUCCUCACUAAUGUUGGCCUGAGAUAUUUGAUUCCAAAUUGGUUGGACUUGAGCAAGAAAAUCAUUAACAGAUUGAUCUGAUCCUUGUUUGAGACUAUGAAGUGUAGUCCACAACUGAUAAUAGUGGGCAAGUCCAGUGGUUUGAUACCGAUUAGCCAAUAAAUCCCAGAUUUCUUUGGCAGAGUCAUAAUCUGCAAACUGUAUGUGAAUGGCUGGUACUGAGGUGUUACGAAACCAUGUAAUAAUCUGAUGAUUUUUACUAUCCCAGUCCUCUAAGCGAUCUGCAAACUUUGUAUCAGAUUCAUCUUUCUCUUUGGUUGGUUUAAUGAUAUCUCCAGUAACAAUACGCCACAGCUUACGACCAAUUAAGAAGCUUUUCAUUCCUUGAAUCCAAAGAUUAUAGUUUGAACCAGACAAAACAGUUGUAAUGGGUUGUGAAAUAUCAGGUUUUUCCAUGAUGAUGACAGGGAGCAAGGCACACGACAGUUGUAGACUCCAAUAAUACUAUCAGAGAGGUGUUUGUAUGAAUGCCAAAGAGAAGCAGGAACAGAUUUAUUGCAAAGACACAAGACCAUGGAAGCAUAUGAGAAAUUUUGGAUCUAGAGUCUAGGCUCUGAUACCAUGAUAACAGAGACCAAAGAAUAAUAACAAAGAAAGGUUGCAGAGAAUUGUGUAUGUAUUAUUUGAAUGUUUCUCUAUACUGAGAUACAAUAACUAUAUAUAUACAUAGGAAUAUAAGUUAGUUUAGGAAUGAAAUAUAAUAGAUACGUAAUGAAAUAUGACACAGAUACGUUUGAUAUGGUUCCUAAUAUCGUGCAAGGCAAAUCUCCUAUAAUCAAGGAAAUCCUAUGUAGCUGUCUAGUAAUCACGCUAACAAUAGACAUGAUCAUAAUUGUUGUUUCAGUAGAUCAGAAGUAUCAAUUUCACUAUUUAAUUUUGGUCAAUUUUAGAUUUUUUUUAUUCUUUCUCUAAUUUAUCAAUUUUUGUAAAUAGUAAUUAAGGAAAUUUUAGGUAUAAAAAAUAUUUUUGUAGAAUCUUUUGGAUGAUCUCUGUAAUCUUAUAUUUAAUUAAGAUAUUAUCUUAAAGAAACUAUUAUAAUUUAUUAUAUUCUCAAAUUCACUAACUUGAACACAAUUCCGAUUGCAUUAAUAUAUGUUUAUAUCUUAACAGUACAAAUUCUUCAUUUUAUUUUGUCGAUAGCUAGAGGCAAACUCAACCUAUGAGGACAUAAGAAAAGCAAGCCUUUAAAUAUAGAAAUGCAUACGAAUGGCUUGGGAUUUGCUUGGUAUUAUAAAAUAAUAGUAUUAGUAAAACAAUGUUCGUGUUUUUAUAAAAACGGUAAUUAAACUGAAAAAUACCCACAAUAAAACCACUUUGCUUUUUUAAAAGCAGUCAUGCAUGCUUUAAUUCAAAGCAAAGCAGUUUAAAAAAAAAAAAUUAAAUACUAUUACUUUAAAAUAAGCUCUUGAUCUCUUUAAUCUCCAAGCUCCUUGUAUAAGAGAUAUAAUAACUAUUGGCCUGAAGAAAGUGAUAUGGUGUAUCUAAUUUUAACAACUCAUGAACCUUAUAAUUUAAUAAAUUAUUUAAUCAUGAUUUAUUCCUGAGGAACACCUCCAGGUGUGUGUGUGUAGAUGAUUUGCGCGGUCUUAAAAUUGCUUUAAACAACCAUCGAGCCCAAGCUAAGUUAUAGGCCUAAUCUAGUAAUUCAACCUCUGAGUUCGGAAACAUCACGCGAAGGCGCAGUCCACUUGCUAGCCCGCAGUCCACUUGCUAGCCUGCAGUCCACUUGCUAGCCCGCAGUCCGUAGGCCCUUUCCAGUCGCGCUGUCCAGUCUAGAAUCAAGAUGUUUCCUUCUACUUUCCUUGGUGAUUUCUACGAGCUUUCCAGAUUCUUGUUAGCUACGGCGGAGCGAGGAGUCAAGAUUUAAAUUUUAUGUUUUAUUUUUUUUAAGAGUUACAAAUGUAAAAUACAUAUACAUCCCUAGAAAAAUCUAUAUUUUAUCAGGAACCCGGGCUCCCCUUGUCUCAGCCCUUGGUUACGUCAUUAUAUAUCCACCUGGUUCUUAACUUGGUGGAUGUUUUAAUCAAUAAUUAUACGUACGUCAUUAUAUGCCCUCUCCUAGUGGAAAAGAAGUGGAGAAUUCCAAGGGCAGUGUCCCUGCUGAUCCUCAAGUUGUAGUUAGAGAUUGAAGAAACAAGAGCCUUUUGGUACUUGAAAACUGAAAUGGCAAUCAUAUUUAUUUGUCGAUUUUCCGUCUUCUCUCUUUCUCACAACUCGACACUAAACAAUAAACAAAGAUUUUUAAGACUAAAAAUAAAAUUUCAAUUUGUUUUACACUUUUAUCUCUUUGUUGAAUUUUUUCUUUCUUUAAAUUUCAGAAAUUGAUUAUUAAUUUGGUGAUAAGAGUUUGUGAUUGAAAAGGAAAUUGAGAAUGAAAUUUGAAAAAAACUUACGUGGAUUGUUACUGUGAAAAGCCUUAUAGUAAAUUUUGUAAUUGUAAUUUGAGAGUGUAAUUGGAACAAGUGUUAACCCCGUUGAAACUCAUGCACGUAGCUGGUUUCAAUCUUCAAGACUCCAACACGUACGAUGACCACACUGGGCAGACACAGAAUCUUCAAGACUCCAACACGUACUCGAGGCGGAGUCCUUGUCUUCGACUAAUGGUAUUAAAAUUCAGUCAUCACUGUCGUUUAUCAGCAGCCCUCGUUUAUUAACACAAGGGAUAAGAAGGCGUGGUUACUUGGUAGCCUUGCAAGUUUUUUUCUUUCCUUUUCUUAAUGCACUCAUGUACGUGUAACAUUAUCUAAUAUAUUUUAAAAAAGUUCGUGCGACAACACAGCUCUUUUAUUGUUCAUGGUGAUAGUGAAUGAGGGCUUUUUUUUUUUACUUUUUUUUUUUAAUUUUAUUCUUUAAUAUUUAUUUGAUUUUAAAUUUAUUUUUAUAAUUUGUUUUUUUUUAUAAGUCUCACAGUUUUGAAAAAGAAUUUCUUAAACCUAGUGCAUUCCGUCAUCCGAAUCAUAAAUUUAAUAGGUCAAGUAACGAAACUCAAGUCAAUUUAAUAUGUUGAUAUCUUCGUAUUAAAAUAAAAAUAUUUAAUUUUUUUAAAAUUAAACUAUAUUUUUAUAUUAAAAUAUUUUUUAUUCAAGCCGCAAUGCUAUAAGCAUUUAUAACAAUAUAGUCGAAUUGAAUUGGAAGAAGAUUCAUUUAGUAUUCUAUAAAAUCUCAUGAAAUUAUAUUUUAAUAAAUUCAUGUAAAGAAUUUCAUGUAUUCAAUAAUCUUAUUUUUUAAAAUCAUGUUUAAAAACAUAUAUUAUUUUAAUAAAAUUAGUGUUUACCUAGUCUUUUUUUAUUUAGUCUUGUUUUUCUUUUAAAUUAAUUUUUGUAAAAAAUUAUCUUUCAAUAUUAGUUUGAAUAGGAAUUGUUCGUCUUGAUUUGUUUCAAAUUAUUUUUUUAUAACGUUAUUAAACUCUCACAAUCUAGUUCAUUUGAUUUAAAAGAUUAAUUAAGGUUGACUCGAGUCCUAUUAUUAUGUUGUCUUAAUAUAUUUUUUAAAAAAUAUUAUUUUAAAUUUUUUUAUUUAAAUAAUAUUUUUACCAUUUGUGAGUAACUUUUAAAAAUAGCAAAUCAUGUCAUUGUAAAUCAACAAUCACAUAUUUUAAUUGUUUUUACUAGAAAAUAUAUUAACAUCUCUGAAAACUAUAACUAAAUAACCAAUGAAUUAAAUUAAUUUGACUCGCGGCAUAACGAGUGAUAACAAGUAGUGUGAACUAAUAGAAGGGAAGGCCCACAAACAUUUGACGACUUCCUUGUCAAUGCAUUAAAUUAAAAGAAGGAACUCACUGGGAAAAAGGAAACAUCAACGGAUAAGAUAUUUAAAAAGGACACGUGGAGCUUCAGCAGUGAAACAAGUCAUCAAACACGUGCCGUUGUUGAAGAAGUUCAAGGAAAUUACUUCGUCGUCGAGGAGGCAUACGACCCCACAUGACACACGUGGUUAACACAUUAUCUGCUCAGCUAAGUAAAAUAGGACCCACCAAGACCAGUCAAAAGUGUGAAGUAACCUUCCGUGUUCGUGUUCAGUGUUCACCUCGUAUCCUCAUCCACAAAGAUCCUGAGCAUAUAUAGCAGCACACAAUCUCACUUCCGUUAGUUAAAAAAGAGCAAGCCGGAAUCUCAACACUCUCACAAGUCAUUCAUUAUCCGUGCCCAAAAGUUCAAAGCGGACCCAUAAACCCUAUACAAACAUCACUAGCUCUUAAAAAAUGGUCAUGGGAGGAUCAAAUUCGUUCUCACCUGACAAGCAAGAAUCAUCUUUAUCAUCUUUACUAUCCGAUAGUAGCGGUUCUCAGCAGGACUCGCCCAGUUCGAACGAGAAAGUCUUACUAGCAACAAGUCGUCCGAAAAAGCGUGCAGGGCGGAGGAUAUUCAAGGAGACUCGUCAUCCAAUCUUUAGAGGUGUUAGGAAGAGGAAUGGCGAUAAAUGGGUUUGCGAAUUGCGUGAACCAAAUAAGAAGUCACGUAUUUGGCUAGGCACAUAUCCUACACCCGAAAUGGCAGCCCGGGCACAUGAUGUAGCUGCUUUGGCGUUUAGGGGAAAAUCAGCUUGCCUUAAUUUUGCGGACUCGGCAUGGAGGUUGCCUGUGCCUAUUUCAAAUGAGGCCAAGGACAUCAGGAGGGCAGCAAGUGAGGCAGCAGAGUUGUUUAGGACUUCAGACCUUGGUGGUCAAGUAAUGGAAGAUUUCAGGAGGGAGGACCGUGGUGAAGUUCGUAGUAGUACUAAUGAUGACAUAAGAGAUUUGCCAUCUGAAAAUGUGGGGUAUAUAGACGAAGAGGCAGAAUUUAACAUGCCAGGGUUGCUUGCUAGUAUGGCAGAAGGCCUUCUACUCUCUCCUCCACAUUAUACUGGGGACUGGAAUGACGGGGAAAUUGAUGCUGAUUGGUCGUUGUGGAGUAGUUAAUUUGACGUGUCAGGGUUUUGUGGAUUUUUCUCUUCUAGCUAGUUACAGAAAUUCAAAUUUUUUGGAAAAUGUUCGAUCGGAGGAAUUAAUGUCAUGGGAUAAAUUGUGUGUGUGUGUGUGUGUAUAGAAAACAAGCUGACAGGCUCGAUGGCUAUUAAACAUCAGAGCAUGUCUUGAUAUAUUGGGCAGAGUGUAACUUCUUGAUAUAUAAGCUUAAUAUUCAAGAAAUUCAGAACGAGUCGCUGAGAUAGGUGGACAGAAGAAUAACAUUGCGAAGAACUGAUAUUUCUCUCUCUUGUUUAUCGACCUAGCAAGCUAUGUAAAACAUUUUGGAUUUUCGCUCAGGUACUCUGCCAAUCAACAGCCGACAAAGAGAUGUCAUGGUCACGAAAGUAAAGUCGGUUCUUUUAUAAUGGACAUAGAUAACAAUGUUUAGUUUGGUAGAUUAUUAAUUAAUGAAAAUAAGUUCUCACUUACCUCUCAGUUUAAUUAGAAUUAAAGAUAUUUGAAAGUUUUUUUUUCAUUAAUAAUAAAUGAAGAACAAAUAAAUCACUCUUUUUUAUAAAUUUAGAGGAAUUAUUGCUAUUUGAAGAGAUGAUGGACAUAAUUAAGAUGCCCUUUUAAUGAUUUGGAUGGCAAAUAAAAUGUUUGAGAUUCCCAAUCUUGAAAUGCCUAUACAGGACUUCAGUUUAUACAGGACUUGAUUGCAUUCAUACAUAAAAGUGAGUUUGGAUCAUCAUAUAUCAAUAAAAAAUAAGUCAUGCUAUCAUAUCACAUCACGUUAAUGAAAAAUCCAAAAUCACAAAAUGAUAGCAACUUUCUCUAUCCAACAAAAAAACAAACGCCGGACUUUUUAUUUAAAGUGAAAAAAAAACUUGACAAAUAAAUAACAUCCGAUUCCAUAUAUACAAGAUUUACUUGGAUCUUGAUAAAAUUAAAUAAAUAAAUAAUCUAAAAGUAUGAAAAAAAGAAAAGGGAGAGGCUGCUGUCGGGUCUCAUCGGCAAUAGCUACGCUGAUACUUUAGAUAAAACUAGAUUUUUUGAGUAUUUUUAGAGGGAAAGAGGGGUAAAAUCCUUAUGAAACUAAUUACAGGAGGGUAGAUACUGGGGACAAAUGUUUUAGAAAACAUUUAAAAUUGUUAUGCUUAUAGGUUGAACAUGUUCUUUUACUGGAUAUGCAAUAGGGCGUGCCUGAACCAAGCUCUUCUACCUGAUAAAAGGUUAUUUAUUUUAUGUUUCUUGUCCUUAGUUUCAGCUAGAGUACGUAACGGCGGAUAAAGGGACAGGGGUGUAUUUCUUCCAUUCGCAUCAUAUAUUAAAAUGAAGGCUCUAUAGAAGUACGGAAAAAUAAUGUAGAACAAUUCGUUUACAUGUAAAGCUAACUGCUAACUAUGGCACUACGUACUAAUCUAGAAGUUUGCCUAAUAACUCCAUAACGACAAAUCAGAACCAUUCUCCAUAUGAUCCAAGUCGUUGCAAUCAUUCCUUACAUAACGUGGAGGAGAGAGUAGAAGACCUUCUGCCAUGUCCACGAGCAACCCUGGCAUGUCAAACACUGCUUCCUCGAAGAAGACAUCAUUUUCUCCUGGCAUGGCAAACACUGCUUCCUUGAAGAAGACAUCAUUUUCUUGGAAAGUUUUGCAAUCAUCGCUGCAAACUUCACUUGAGCAAUCCUCUAGCACUGCAUUGCUAUCUUGUUGUUUUGCCGGAUGACCACCAAACUCUUGAGGCCUAAAUAAUUCUGCUGCCUCAUUUGCUGCCCUUGUAAUAUCCUUAGAAUCCUUCGAAACUGGCACAGGCAACCUCCAGGCAGAAUCAGCGAAGUUAAGGCAAGCAGAUUUGCCUCUAAGUGCCAAAGCAGCAACAUCAUGAGCUCGAGCUGCCAUUUCUGGUGUAGGAUAUGUUCCUAACCAUAUUCGUGACUUCUUGUUUGGUUCCCGCAUCUCACACACCCAUUUGUUACCAUUCCUCUUCCGAACACCUCUAAAAACCGGGUGCCGAGUCUCCCUGAAUAUUCUGCGGCCAGCGCGUUUUUUCGGAAAACUUGUUGCUAGUAAGACCUCUUCAUCAGAAUGGACAACUCGUCGAGACGUGCUGCUAUCGGAGAAAGAAGAUGCUUCUUGCCUGUCAUUGGGCAUUGAAUUUGACCUCAAAGGAUGUUGAUCAGAGAAUUGGCAGAAAUUAUCCAUUCAACAAGAACUGAAGGCAGUUUCAACUUUUGAGAGGGAAUAUAUAGAAUGAUGGGGUGAAUUUAUUUCUUUCUUCUCUCGUCUGUCUGUCAAGGGAAUUUCUUUUUUGUUGCUUUCUGGGGGUUUCAAGGGGGGAAUUGAAUGUAGUGUGAAAGGCUUCGGUUUUGGAGACAGUGGGUGAUCUAGGAAGUGUUGAAUCGGUUGCUCAGUCAGAUGGGAUAAUUAUAUAGGCUUUGUGUUUUGAAGAGGAUAUUUAUUGGUGGGGCCGUACACGGAUUCACUUGAGAUGCCAGUUGGAGACCCACGGUUCACACCAGGGCCAGGAACAGGAAGCACCAAAGUGGAAAGUGAUAUGAUGGUCGUUCUCCACUUUUGUCUCUGCCAGCAGCUUCUGCCACCUCAUUGCUUACAAUUUACCGCUGUAUCGUACUAUCUACUCUUAUGCACGUGUACUCUUAAUUCAAAGGAAAUAACACGUGGAUCUUUUCCAACGCUCGAUUGGCAGCUUCAUGUCGCCCCUCGAGAAUACAUGUUUUUUCUUUUUUUUACUUCCGAGUGUUGAGAAUGCGUCUCCUCAGUGUGUUGACUUCGUAUUCACUGGGAACUCUUGCUUCUAGUAGUUUAGCGGUGUCUGCAUGCAGCGAAUUUAAAAUUUGUUAAACUCUGUUAAACUAAUUAGAUUUUUAAUUUAUUUUUUAAAAAAAUUAUUAAUUUAAAUUUCAUAAAUUUCAGGAUUAUUAAAGAUUUAAAUAAUUAUUAAUUUUAGUAUCUAUAAAAUUAAUCAAGAUACGUGUAAAUUAGUCCGGACACCCACAUUAAUAAAAAACAAUUUAUUAAAAACCAGUUUGAUAUUAUUGUGUUAUAUUAUGCUGUGAUUACUAUACUAUCUUAUGUUAUUUGGUGUUGUGCAGUAGAAUAAAGUACUUUUUUAUAAUUAAUUGUUGUGUUUUGCUUGUAAAUGUUUAAAGCAGUUAAUUAUUGUUUGGUUACAUUUUAUUAUCGUGUUUUUGAGAUAUCAAAGGAUUGUAGUAUACUAAAAAUAUUUUGAUACAUAUAUUUCAAUAUUAUUAAAAAAAAAUUAUAACAUUUAUGAUAGUGUCUAUAUUUUUAUGGGACCGAUUCUUAAAUUUAGAAAACUAAAAACAUAAAUUAAAUGGGAUGAUAAUAUAUAUAUAUAUAUAUAUAUAUAUAUAUAUAUAAAACAAAAUUGAUAUAAAAAAAAUUUGAAUGAAGUUGCAUAAAACACUAGUAUAUAUAUUUUAAUUUAAAAAAAAUAAUAGAGAAAGUUGUUUAAAACAAACCCUAUAAUAUAAUAAACAAUUGUACAUUUUGUUAGAAGCAGGAAAUACUCUACUUUAUUUAAAAAGCAAAACAUUGUUUUUUAAAUAACAUUGAAUAUAAAACUAAAUGGCGUUGGAUUUUCAUUGAGAUGAAAAUAUCCUCUCACGUAUUAUUGUGGAUGGAUUGUGCAAAAAAAUUUAUUUUUUUAUUUUGGUCUUUAAAUUUUGUUUUUUGGUGAUUUAAUUCUAGAUAAAGACCAAUUAAUUUUGAUUUCUUAUAAAAAACAUUAGGAUUAAAAGAUGAGCCAAAAUAAAAAAGGAGUCAAACAUGGAUGGCAUGUCAUAAGUUUUACAAAAGAUACACUUUGGUCAUCGAACUUAAAAAAUAACACAGAUUAUACAAUUCCGGUACCUCAGUAUUUUUUAAAUUCAAUUUUAAUAUAAAAAUUUAUUUUUGUUAUUUUUUAGUUCCUAAUUGAGAGAGCAUAGUAAGAGGUCGCUGGGUUCCAGAGAUAGAAAAAAAAAUAUGUUGUUGAUACUGAUUUAGGUUAUCAAAAUGGAUAAUAUUUGUGUCAGAUGAUUUCAUUUGAUGAAAAAAAUUCAUAUUACAUGUAUUUUUUACCUUUAAAGUUUAUAAAAAAAAUAUAUGAGCUUGAGUUGAUUUUUAAUUUCAAGUUAAUUUUGGUUAUUGAAUAUGUUUUGGGUUUUUUUAAGGUUAUGGAUAGAUUUGUCAUGUGAUUUCUUAAGAUAUUUUAAUUUCAAAUUAAAAGCACAAUAAUUAGAACUAGCUCUUUCAUUUUUACAACAAUUUUAUGGAAUAGUGUUAAAACAGUAGUUCUUUAAUUUGGUGGGUAAAGUAAAGCAAGUGAUAGUUUUUUCUUUGGAGUUGGGAACAAUUGUGGUCCCCAUGGAAUCAUUUGAUCCUUCUUUAAUCAAGCAUAAAUAAAACAUGCCUGAAAACAAAUUAAAAAGCCAGCUUGAAAGUGAAGGCCAUGAAGUGGGAUAAGGGAUGGCAUCAAUCUCGUAACGUAACGUAAAGGGUGGGAUAAGCUGGACACAAGGCCCAGCUUCAAGACCCACUUCAAGGUAAAAGUUCCCCGAGGAGAAAUGUUAUUUAAAGGAGCUAAAUCGCUAAUAAGUCUUUUUGAAUAGUAUUAUGCAUUCUAGAAAGAUUUUAAAAUAGUUAAUUAUAUUUUAAUAUAUUUAUUAUACAGUUAUUUUAAUAGUUUAAUAUAUUUUAGUUAAUUUGAUAGAUCUAAAAAUAAGUUAGACGAUUAUCAAUCAACCUAAUAUAAAAAAUAAAAAAACAUUAAUUAAAAAACAAAAAAAAAACAACUCAAAUGAAAGCGUCAAAGUCAUAAAAGUCAUAACAUGUAUUAUAAGAUCAUAAUAAUUUCAUUAUAUGCUGAUAUCAAAAAUAAAUUUUUAAAUAAUAUAAAAAAUAUAUUUUAAAAAAAAUCAUUUAAAAAAAAACCCACUAACAAAAUAUAUCAUCCUCGUAAUCAUUCAAAAAAGACACCCCUGAUUAGUGGUUUAAUGGUUAAACAAAUGCGUGGAACGAGGUUAGACCACGGGAUAACGAGAAUCACGUGGUGGUCCCAGGAAUCCGAGCUAGGUGGUGCACAGGUCCAAGCUUGUUAACUGUUGGGCUCAGACAAUAUACCUUGAUCCAUACUUUACUGUUCAGAUCCCUAGUGGACAAAAUGACUGGAUCCACGGUAUUAAAAAUUUAAAAUUUUGACGUUUGAUGAUGCAGUUUUAUGCUCUCUCAAUAAAGUGUUUCAACAAAGUUAUUAAACUUAAAAAGUUAAUAAGAUAAAUUACAGGUUUAACGGAUUAAGUAAUGAAAUCUAAAUUGAUUUAAUAUAUAUUAUUUAAAAAUAUAUAUAUAUUAUUUUAAAUUUUUUGAAGCCAAAACCAUGUUUUUACUGGGGGUCACUCAUAAAUAAUUUUAUUUAAAGUUUGGAAUGGGCAAAAAGUCAUGAUAGGAGGUUUCCCGAUUGAUCUACUAUCUCAGGUUUAAUAACAUUUCCUACAGCCCAUGCACUUUUUUUACAUUAAAAAAAAUUAAUCAAGCCUGCAACGUAUGCGAGAUAAUUACCUAGUUAUUUUACUAUUCUUCUUCAUAUUCAUGCUGUCAUCAGUAAACAAUAAGUCAUUAAAAAAAACAUUUGUGGAUUUUCUAUUUUUUUUAACUUAUUAGCUAAUUAGGUAGUGUUUUUAGAAUAAUUUGUGUAUCUUCUUGAUUUAGUAGUAGAAUAAAUCAUUUAUCCGCAAUAUAUAACAAGUUGAAUCAAAUAUUUUUCAAACAUUAAAAAAUAUUUCGGCAUCGGGAAUGUGUUUUAAAGAAAAUAAAUAAAUCAUGUAGGGAUUAACCCAAUAUAACCUUGUCAACUUGACAAGUUCAAAGGUAACCUAGACAAUCAGGAAAACAAAACAUAGUUCGACAGAAAAAAUUUCAAUAAAACAUCUUCUUUUUUUAAGAAAUACUAAGAUAAGAACAUAUUGAAUCGACUAUGUCUACCCAGGUUAAUAUGUAAAAUUCAUGACAUGGGUCUUGCAACCUUGAUAACCUCAUAUAAAACAAAUCAAAAAACUUUUUUGAAACUCAAUUCUCAAUUAAUCUAAUGUUGAAGGAUGAAAUCAAGAAGUAAAAAAUGGCAAAAAAAUAACCCGAGUUAACUCGAUCGGGUUAACUUGUCAAAUUCGAAACAUGAAACUAGAAUAACCCAAUAGAAAGAAGAUAAAAAUAAAUUAUGAAUCUCAAUCCCAAUAAACUCAAUGUUGAAGGAUGAAAUUGAAAAAAAAAUCAAUUAAGAAAUGAGACAAAAAAAGACUUGUGUCAAUCUGGGUUAACAUGUCAAACUCGUGACCCGGACCAUGAAACUAAGAUAACAUCGUAUAAAGCAAGUCAGAAAAAACUAUAAAUCUCAAUUUUCAAUCAACCUAAUAUUGAAGGAUAAAAUUAAAAAAUAAUAAUAAAUUACAAAAAAGGAAAAAAAAUUGCGUUACCGGGAUAACCCGUAUAAGCCAUGACUCGGGUCAUAAGAUUGAGAUAGUCUCAUAGAAAGAAAUCCAAAAUAAAUUAUAAAACUCAAUACCCAAUAAAUAUAAUGCUAAAGCAUAAAUUUGAAAAAAAAAACUAGAUUUUUUUUUAAAAAAAUAUAUAUAUUCCAAUGAACAAUACUUUGUGAGGAAGAGAAUAAUGAUUUUCCCUCCUCUUAGUUUUUGUUAAAUACAUAUUUAUUAGUUUAUGUUGAUUUAAUAACAUGUUUAGUUGGAUAUAACAUAAUAUAAUGCAAUCUAUAAAUAUGUUAUGUAAUGGAGUGCAAUGAUCCAUUACAUUUAUGUUUAAAAAGUUUUUUCAACUUAAUUUUGUUUAAAAUCACCACAAUAAUAUCAUAGAAACCUCCAUAAACACAUUUUAAUUCUAAAACGUCUUUUAAUUAGUUAAAAAAAUUAAAUCAAAUCAAAUUAAAAAUAAAUUAACAGGUCUCAAUCUAUUUUCUAUGCCAUGUUUAAAAGAUAAACCACCUCCAUUGUAUUUUAUUCUCUAAGACAACUUAUUGACACAAAGUUUGGUCAUUUUGUGGUUAGAAUGUGAUCGGCCAAACAUUUUAUCUCUCGUCUCUUUUUUCCAAAAACUUUCUAUCUCAUUCCUCCAUAUCUAAAGAUUGAGAUUGAUGCAAACCUCUUGAUCAUGCGGUUAAGCAACCCACAACAAAGAUGAUACAGCUCCUGAAAAGCUACGGAAUCAAGUUUGAUAAGAGUGUGAUACAAUGAAAACCUAUCCUAAGACACCAAUAUUAUUGGAAUAAAAAACCUCUACCUAAUGAAUACCAAUUCGCGAAAGAGAAGUAUGAGGAAGAUACCACAAGGUCAGUUAUACAUUAUUAAGUCAAAUUUAUUCCUUGUACCAACAAAGAAAACAUGUUGUCACGCAAAACACAUGUUUAUUUCAUAAAUUCAUCGCUGCUGAAAAUUUCAGCUUAGAAAACCUUAUAUGAUAGUCCAACUAGUAACUCUAAUGAACCCAAAGCUUGGGGGCUAAUAUUUACCCACUCACAACAAGUAAACACACAAACAAAAUACAUAUACUACAAAAAUAUGCAAUAAAGAUUAACAUUUUAAAAUUGAGUUCAAAUUAAAAAAAAAUAGAUAGUUUUGCUGAAGUGAAGAAUCCUCAAUAAAAUUUAAAUCAAAAUAAGGAUGCUGACAAACUGAGUGUUGGGAUGGCUGAAUAUAUAGCAAGAGGUUGAUUUGUGAUAAAAUUGGGGUGGGAGUGUGCUUUUGUUUCAGAGAAAAAUGGAGGAGGAAGAAGAAGAAAUGAGAGAAAGCUAGAAAGAGAGGAAGGUCACUCGUUAGGUCAUAAAUUAAAUAUUACAGACAUAUUUAAAUCUAUCAGUAAUUUUGCAUGUAAAAAUAACACGUCAUCGUACUUGACAGCUUUUUUUAUUUUUUCAAUUGUAAUUCCAUCGAUAUAUACUGAAAGAAUAUUUUUAUCAAUAUUUACAGAUAAAUAUGACGAGGGAAUAUUUCGUUGAAAAAUUCCUCACAAUAUAUCUAUGAAAAUAUUCUAUUGAUGUAUCCAUUUAUAUUUAUCAAUUUUAUAGUAGCAGAUAGAAUACUCCCAGGUCAGAGCAAAAAAAACAAAGAAAACAAGAAGAGAUAUACCGAACUAUGUUUUACAUGUAAAAUUCGUAUUCAAUGAGCUUCCAAUCCAUGCAACUAAGAAAUCAAUUAACUAACUAGGGCAAGUAAAUCGUGGUUAGGACCACACUAUAUCAUGCAUGGGUCCUGUUGGGAAGACCAGAGCUAAAGAACUUCAAAAUUUGCGAAGUACUCAUUUUGUUUUUUUACUUUUGCUUUGGAGAAUAGUUACAUGCAUAUAUACUCAUCAUGUUGUUUCCUUCCAGGUUUGCAAGUGGAAAAUCGAAAUCAUGAUCAUAUGAAUCACCAGGCACGCGUGCCUUGUUCAUUUUCAAAUUAUUUCCUACAUUAUUAGUAAAUUAUUUCUAACUUUGAAAGAAAGCUUACUUCCAUUAUAGAACCGUUAAUUAAUCCAUAACUACCUUUGUUCUGAACAACCAAAUUCUUAAAUGAUUAGAUCGCAAUUAAUUAAUUAUGAUUCAUAAUAAAAAUAAGGUUAGUUACCAAUGUAAUUCGUUAUUAUUUUACUUUUCUCAUCUAAAUCUAAAUCACUGGAUUAAAAAAAUAUUAAUGAUGACAUUUGAAACAUAACAUAUUAUAUUUUUUUUUAAAUAUGCUUUUUUUUUCUUACAGUACGGCUAUCUUGUCCUCUAUGGGUGACGAGCUAGGUUUAUAGCCUCGUGGAUCUAUGUAUCAUAUGGUGAUGAUAAAUAUACAUACAUAGGAGGCUUAUAGGUAGGAAGUUGUUAACCGGCCGUUAAUGGAAAGCUCUCCUGUCCUGUCCCUGCAUGAAAGAAUCUUCCAUUAAUUAGUUAAUCAGAAAAUCGAAGGCCGCAACAAAAACUUCUUCAGACCUUCGAUUGCCCUUCGUCGAAUAAACAAUUAAACAAGAGGAAAAUCUAACAGCUGAUCAUUUUUCACGCUUCCGAUCUUCUGAACUUCAGGGCAGGCACACGUGCCAAAGAGCGUAAGAAAUGGGCAGUCAAACUACUAUCAUUUUCAAGAUUUUUCAAGGUCAACUAGUGGUCAUGUAAUGGAAACUAUAUUUUUUUAAAAUUUGAAUAUUUUUAUAUAUUUUCAAAAUAAAAUAAAAUCUUGGUGGGUGCCUUUGGCAAAUUUCGAAGAAACAUUGAAGCACCCCUGUUUACCGUAGUAGUAUACGUGUUAAUUUCUAGCUUGUAACCCCAUGCAGUCAUGACUCUUAAUAUACUCGGUUAUUUAUAAAAUCCAAUUAUAGUUCAGAAUCAUUUGUACAUGUUACUUUGAUCUUUUGAUAAUUAAAUUAUUUCAAAAAAUAAAAAUCUCUAUUAAUAAAUAAAAAAAACUAAGGUCCUAGGAUGUAAAGAUUAAGGUAUUUAUGAGAAAAUAUAUGUAUAUAAAUAAAACUUACUAUCCACAAGGUAACUAGCUAGGUUAUAAAGUACAGCCAGUUCAUAGAAUUCAAAAAAUGCAUUAAAUACACAAACCAAAGCAAUAAAAUAACCAAACUUAAGAUUCAAAAAAACAACACACCAGAACAAGAACCAUCCAAGCUUCUUCUACCUCUGCAUGCAAAGACUGAACUCUCUUAACUCUUCUCACUCUCUCAUUGAGAUCUUCACCAUUUGGAAUUGGAACCUACCUCCCUCUUUCUUUCACUUCACCUGAGAGCUCCCUAUAUAACCCCCCACCAUCCCUCUGUAAGUUCUUAGUGUCUGCACUGCUAAAAAGCUGUCGUCUCAUAGCUGGUGAAUUUAUGCAACCUUCCUAGCAUUUCCCUCUUUAAAUCCCUCUUUGUCUCUUCUUGCAGCCUUUUCUCUGUAUCUGCCUCCCAUCAUUUACUUCAGUACUGUUUAAGCUUUAAAUCUAGCUAGCUUGAUCAUUUAAUUUUCUCAACUUAUAAUUAAUUCUCAAUCGACAAUGGCCUCUAGCUCUUCUUCUUCUAAGCAAAAAUCAUUUUCGAUUGAAAGAUCAAAACCCUUGAUGCUCAAAGAUUAUCUUCUUGAUGAUCAAAGUUCAUGCUCAUCCAACGGCUUCAAGUCAUUUCCUCGUCGUCGAUGCUGCACAACCGUCCGACUUCUCCUCGAAAUAGACCUCAAAACCAAGCAGCAGCAGCAACCAAGGCAGCUUUUCAAAAGAAGUAAAUCAAAAGCAGCUUCUACUACGAUCUCAGCUCUUCAAAAAGCAUCGGUUGCCGUUAUGAAGGCCGUUAAACUACUCCCAUUUCCCUCACCCAACUCCACCGUGAGGUCUCCGUCACCGUCAAGAACCAGGAAGGGACUUUUACCUCGAAGUCUUUCACGGAAGCUGUUUAAGAAGAACUUUUGGAGAAAAACAGCUGAUCAACAUGGUCAAUGUAAAGAAAGAAAUGAGAUCAGAGGAUGGAGAUUGUUCGGUGAGUUCUUGGAGGAACAAGAUAAACUGUCCGAUCAAAUUACAAGCGGAAUUUCAACAAGCUCCAGCAGUAACAGUAACAGUAACUGUAACAUUUGGACUACUGAGAGUGAAUAUACUGUUGACAGUGGUAAUUCUACGUGUAACAGUUGCCGAAACGACUCCGUUUGCAAUAGAAAAGAUUUAAUGAUCAAGGAAGUCAGCGACAGAGUGAGCGUAUCAGGCGGUCAGGAUUCCAUCACAAACAGGAAGGUUAGUGAGAAAAGUUUGUCUUUAAUGUUUCGAGUGUACAAUUGUCUGCCGGUGGAUUUCUCUUAUAAUUGGCUGGUAACGGUAUUGGUGGUUUUGCUAAUCUCCAAUAAAAAACUGACACGAGUUUAACUCCUAUAAUCUCUUUAAAAUCGAGUCAAGAAAAUGUGAUUUCGUGCAGCAUUUUAAUUCCAUGCGCGUAGUUUAUUUCUGGACUGGAAAUUUGAGUCUGCAAUCAGAAUCAAGAAGUAGAGUCAAUCUUAAGGCGUCAAGACUAACUUGAAAAUGCCCUAAAAAAAAACCCUAAAAAAAGGGAUUUGAAGGGGUUGUUAGAGAGUCAUAUAAAUAUGAUAAAUGGGGGUUUUUGGCAUUUUCAUGUGGGCUUUUAUUGGGAAUUGGAUACGGUGCAUCUCGGGACCUUGGAAUUAAAUACCAUGGAGUGCUUCGAGGCCUACGAUCCCGCUGCAUGAUGUCUAUUUUGCGGCAUCUACGGCGAUGAAAUGAGAUGGAGUAUUUAGGCUUCUUCAUGGUAUAUAGUUUAUCAAUUUAUUUAUUUUUUUACUAUUAUUUGGCAUGGGUAUUUUGAAAUUUAGUUAUUAGGUGCGACCCAAUUGCAUAACUUUUUCUGUCGGUGACAUGGAGUUUUGGUAGGCUACUUGGAGAAUAAUGCAGAGAUUGAUUUUUUUUUUUUUUUUGAUAAAGAAUGUAGAGAUAGAAUUUGGUGGGGUUGUAGAUGGACACUUAUGAAUUUUAGGAAAGUAUUAAUCUACGCUAACAAUUGGGAUUAUGAAAAUUAAUUGAAUAGCUGGACAGAUGUCUUGCUGUUAUCUUGCGGUGGGUUGACUUAGCCAACUCACCCAGUCUUGGGAUUUACCAUUCUGGCAACAAUUGUUUCUUUAUCCUUUUGUCUUGAAAAGACAAUGAUUGAUCGAUUUUAGCAAAAUUACAUAGUAUGGUGUUAUAAAAAUAAUAGAUUAUAUUAUAUGCUGUGUUAAGGCAUCUUUAUCCAAAUCAAAUUUAUUUGUGUUUUGGUUAAUAUUUUCCACUCGUUGUUUUUUUGUAGUUUUCAGAUAUUUUAGAGUAUAGUAAAUAUUGCUUUUUAAAAUUAUAUCAAAUCAAAUCAAAUUGAAUUAUCCAAGUGUCGUGGACAAUAAUGGUCAUGUGACAUUGUUUUUUUUGUUGCUUUCAAAAUUAUAUCAAAUCAAAUCAAAUUAAAUUAAAUUAUUGAGAAUAGGGAAUUGAAAUGGGGCAUCCAAUUUUAUGAUGGACUUUGGAUAUGUACCAACUGCAUUAUUUAUUGUAAUAAUCGUGUCUGUCUCCAGAGACCUUUUUCCUGGUUACUUUUUAAUUUCUAUCGUAGAGGUGCUUGCUACUUUCAUGCAUUAAUACUUAAUAAUAGCUCAUGUAAUGCAACAGGAGUGGCCAAAUGAGGAGGAGAAGGAGCAAUCCAGUCCAGUGUCAAUUCUGGACUGUCCAUUCCAGGAUGAAGAAGAAGAUAUUGGCUCUCCUUUCCAACGUAGUCUUAUCCGCGUGGAAGGUAUCCUUCUCUCCAUCUCUUUACAACUCCCUCCCUCUCUCUCUCUCUCUCUCUCUCUCUCUCUCUCUCACACACACACACACACACACAGUUUCCACACUUCAUGAAAAUUUUGAUAAAGAGUGGUGAUUUUGCGAUUAAGUGACCUGCUAGACAGGAAAGUAGUUGCCUCUUCCAUGAAAACUUAUAAUGCAACUAGAGCCAAGUUAUGGGCCCUUGAAAUAGGGUCCAGAGAGGAGCUCCAAUAGGAUGGGACCGAGCUAUAUUAACCCACACUCGUACAUAGCUACGUUGUGUAGACGAACUAAGAUCAUAUGAUUAUCCAAGCAACUUUUUCUUGAGAGAGGAUUUUGAAAUAAACUCAUUCUGUUCGAUUUGGGUAAGACUAGUAACUAUUUGAUGUUAUGGUUUACCCGGUGGGAUUCAUAUUUUAACAAGAUUUUGAAAUAUGUGAUCAACUGCAGGAACUAAACAAAAGCUUAUGCAAAAGAUCAGAAGGUUUGAGAGCCUCGCUCAACUAGACCCUUUAGACUUGGAAAAGCGAAUUGCAAUGGCAGAGUUGGAGGAUGAAUCCCUUGAAUCCCCCGUGCAACAUUGUUCAGUGUCUAUCCACAGUGAUAACGACAACGAUUUCAAGGAAACUAAAGAAAAUGGAACCGAAAAGCAAGCACAGGAGCUACUUAAGCAUGUCAAAUCGACAAUAAGCUUGGCGUCUAAGGUAGAUAGUCUAUUGCUGGACUUCUUCAAGGAGAAAAUUGUAGAAAAUUAUGCAGGUGGAAGCAUGGUUGGAUCAUAUAAAGAAUUUGAGCAAGAGCUAAGGGUAGCUCAGGAAUGGAUUGAUGGGCAGCCUAAAGAAAUGUUUUUGGGGUGGGAGAUGGUGGAGAGGAGGCAUGUCUACGUCAAGCAUAUGGAGAAGAGUGGGAAGUGGGAAAAUGUGGAUCAAGGAAAAGAAGAGGUUGCUCUAGAAUUGGAAGCUGAGGUUUUCAAUUCCUUGGUGGACGAAGUCUUACUUGAUUAUGUUCUGCUUAAUUAAUGUUAUUAGUAGACUGUUUAAAUUAAGUCCAUUUGUUAAUUAUUGGAUCACUCAAGGUUGUUUCACUCAUUUGGAAGCAGGGCAAUGGAGAAAAAUAAAACUCGCACAAAUUUUAAAAUUUGUGGAAUGAUACCAAGUUCUUCGUCGAGUUUCCUCGGGUUUUUGUCUCUUCAAUCAUAUACUUCCUCGUGGCUAAACAUAAUUUCGUGCCUGCGCCUGACCGUGGCUAUCUCAAAACUUUUGUUUAUCAGCUAUUUGACAUUGCGAGGCCCUUAUGUUACUAACUCUUAGCUUAGAAAUAUAGAUUUCUUUUCUUCUCUUUAACCGAAAACGAGACAAAUUAACAUUAUAAAAAAAAAAAAGUAAAAUCCUGUGGAUUGAAGUCUAUACCCUUCUUGAUAAAACUAAAAUUUGUUGCUUUUGAGCGUAUUUUUAUCUUUUCAUGGGUUCACUUGGCAAUGCAAAAUUAAUUGGGGGCAGAUUACUCUUCAUAUAUUUUUUAUACAGUGUAAUGAUAUUUUGAUCCCUGAAAAAAAAAAAAGAGACAUAUAUCUAUCAUUUGAUGGUAUUUUUGACGUUUCAGAUUCAAUUACACAGUGAAUUAUCAAACUUACCCUGAAAAAAAAAAAAAAGACAAGAGUGCAAGGGUAUUUAUGUAUUUUCCUUUUAAUUUUUGGAUAAUUAUCGAAUUGAGGGAGUGGUUGUUGUGUCUUUUACUGGUUAUAUAAUAUUAUUUAAAUAAUUAAUCUAGAGGCGUGUGGGGUCCAACAAAUUUAUAGCAGCGUGUGUGGCUAAUUUACAAGGCCAAAAUGUGGCUUUCAAGGCGGCAAUGGAAUCCUCCCAACGGUCCCUACUUGACUAGGAUCGCGUCAAUGACCGUUUCUUUUCUCUCUCCUUUCUCUCUCAUCCUACAAAAGCGUGUUGUUUCUAAAAAAAAAUCAAUGCAACCCUUUAAUUAGUUUUAUCUUCAGAUUUGGUCCUUGAUCUUUUGAUCACUAUUUGUUUUAUUUGAAAUAAUUUUAAAAAAAUAAAUUUGUUUUCAAUUUCAUAUCUCGUGGAUUUUUUUAUCUUUUAAAUUUGAUCCUUAAAAGACUCAAUGCGACACUUCAAUUAGUUUUUUUUUUUCAUAUUUGGUCCAUGGUCUUUUGAUUAUAAUUUUUUUAUUUGAAAUAAUUUAUAAUUUUUCAUUUUCACCCCAUAGGUUUUUUCAUAUGUUUAAUUUGGUCCCAAUUAUUUUAAUUUCUAUUUAUUUGAUUUCAAAUGGUUUAUAUAAUUAGUUUGUUUUUCGAUUUCAUCUUCCUUGUGUAUUUUUUCCUAUUGAAUUUUUUAACUUUUAAAUUUUUUUAGUUUGAUUUUAUUUUGUGAAAUUAUCCUUCAAUAUUAAAUUUGUUGGGUGUUUACCUUCUUAAUUAAUCUCGAAUCUAGAGCUUAACGGGUUGCAAGUAUGAGAUAUGAAUUUAGGGUUAGGAGGUUCGCCCGAGCUUGUUUGGUUUUUUUCAAUUCUUUUUUUUUAUUUCAUCAUCCGGUUUUUUUUCCACUUUUAAUGGGAUUUUUUUGAAUUUUUAGUAAUAACAUGGGUUGCCUUGUUUUUUGUCUUUGCUAGAUCUAGCACUUUUAAAAUGAUUUUUUAAUUAGAUUAAAUUUAUUUAUUUCAACUUUCGACAUUAAAUUGGUCUCGUAUUGCAUUGGGUUUUUUUAUGUUUUUGUUAAAUCUUGCUCUUUUAAAAGUUAUUAUUUUUUUUGUUUGAUAUUUGAGGUUUGAUCCUCAAUGUUUUGAUUUUUAAUUAUGAUUCUUAGCCAUUUUAUCAAAUUUUAAUUUGUUUUCAAUUUCAUCAUUGGAUUCAUAAUCUUAAAAUUUUUCAAUUUCAUCAUCCGGGUUUCUUGGUAUAAUUUUUUUAGAUUUAUUUUGUUUGAUUGAUUUUUUUUUCUGAUUUUAUCCUUCAAUAUUUCGAUUCUUGAAGAUUGACAAUCGUUAUUUUUUUCAGUUCUCUUUCUAUGAUAUAAAGUCAUUAUUUUUUUAUGUUUCUUAAAAUACACUUAUAAUGCUUAAGCAUUAUUUUUUUUUACACUUUCAAAAAAUCAACCCGGCCCGCAACGCAACGGGCAAGCUAUAUAGUAAUAACUAAAUGACGUGAGGUCGGUUUCACUAUUUAUAUGAACAAUGAACUUGGUGAUUAUUUUUUCAUUCAAUCAUACUCAUCUAUAACCUAAUUAUAUAAAAAACAGGGUUCAAAUCAUGUUCAAAAUAUAAAAUUUAAAGAUAGAGGACUAAUAUAUUAAACACGGAGAAAAUAAAUAGCUAACAGCAAAUUAGUGACAAUCUUAUUUUAAUUCAAAAGUUUAUUUUUUUAUUUUUUAAUUCUUGAUUUACAGUAUAUCUCAUAAACUCGCUUAAAAAAAAAAGUUUAACAUUGCUUUUAGCCAUAAAAAUGCCAAUGUUACCGUCAAAGAUUACAAUAGAUGAAAAGAAUUCCUUUAACUUGCCUUAAACGGUAGGUAUGGGUUCAGGGAAUUUUUUUUAAUUCUAGUGAUUUUUAGAUUAUUUGAUGCCAUAAAUAAGUUUUUUUUAAAAAAAAAAAAGUCUUAUCCUGCCCAUGGCAAAACCACAACCAAUCAUGUAGCAAUCCUCUAAUUAUGCAUAAGGCUGUCAGAAAUCGUUGUCUUUUGUAUUCAGGCUCAGCUGAAAUUGCUCGGAAGUUUACAUUGAUGGCGGUCGUUUCAACUUUACAAGCUACAAUAUCAAGAAAGCUUAACACGAAACAUCUAGGUGGUCAUCGAAUCUUGUGGUUGUUUAUAUGAUGAUUAUUAAAAGCUUACAUGGUCGUUAACUUCAGAGCUCGUGGGAUUAGUUGAGGUGCGCGCAAGCUAACCCAGACACCCACGUUAAACUAAAAAAAAAAAAAACUUAACACGUAGUCGCACAAAAAUAAUAAUAAAAAAAAACAAAAAAAAACCCGAGUAGCAGGCUUGCAGGUGUCAUAAUUACAAGCUAGUUGGGCCUAGGCAAUUGAUUGAUGGCAAAGAUCAACAGCAGUUUUUGCUAUGGCUUGUUGGGAAAUACCCAUACGGGCCUGACCCAUCAAAGUCUAAGCCUUGUUUUUUUUUUACUCAUUUUCAUUAAUUCUUUCCAUUUAAAUAUUGGUUUUUUUACAAUUUUUUUUAGUUCAUUGACACGAUAUUAGUUUGAUUUGUAACAAUUUUAUUAUAUGUUAUAUGAAUUAAUAUUUUAUAAGGUUUGUAUAAAAAUAAAAAUCAUUAGUAACAACAUUUAGCCACCAAGAUAAAAUGAAUAAAAAUGCUUAAAAUAGAAAUGAUAGUCAGGGUAAAAUAUUUAUUUUUUAUUUUUUUUUUAUUUUUAUAUGAAAAUUAACUUCCCGGUUUAAUAAAUUAUCAUUAACACCUCUUUUUUCAAAAAGUAAUCACACCCCACUCGGCCAUGUGAAAUAAACCGAGAAAAUGAUAGUUUUUUUAAUCAUUUCAUAUAAUUUUCUGGAUUUAAUUUACGAGACUAGCAUUGUCUAGUGAUAAUAAAAUUUCAUGUAUUUUUUAAUUUAUUUUAUAAAUUAUAAACAACACUUUCUUGUUUCUCAAUUUAAAAGAAUACAUGAAAACAUGUUCAUAUUGCAUUUUUUUCACAUUAGAAAUUGAUUUAAAAUGCUACCAGCAAUGUAAGCAAUAUGUUUGGAUGUUUGAAUUAAAAAAUAUAUUUUUUAAAAUACACCCAUAAUAUUACGUAUUAUUUUAUUAUAUUUAAAAUUAAUUUGGUGAUAAAACCAGUUUUGAACUGCAAGGUCAGAGAUACCCUUCCUCUUGAAGCUAAAAAAAUUUUUUAUUCAAAUUUCUUAUUUUCCAGCUCUUAAAUCUGGAGUCGUGUCAAAAUAUUCACACUGAAAGAUUAAAAUUUGAGAAGACUAGUCAACACAAGUCUCUCGAGGCAGUAACGUUGAAGUGGAUAUAGAGGGAGGGCAGCCCAAUAGACCCGUCCCGAUGGCGUUCAAAUUCAUGCAUCAACCUAGACAGCGACAGCUUUUGAAACACACACAAGGAAGCACACUCCACUCGGCCACCUCUGCUUCCCUUUUGAAACAAACCUGUUCUGUUCGUGGAGGAAGAAAAUUAGGCGUGGAAUUAGAGAUAAAGGGGGUAAUCAGCUCUGGAUGGCAUAUCCUAGUUUUGACAAGUCAGCGUCCAAAAUUAUAUAUUCUCUUUGUACACGGAACAGGUCCAGGUUGCCGACAGGUAUUUCAAUAUCUCGCCGCAUUUCCCGUGCAUUAUUGGCUACUAGUUAAUAAACCCACAAGCGAUAAAUUGUGGAUUAAAGACCUAGUCACCGAUUAGUUACUAAAUGGUUGAAUUGUAUUUUUAAUUUUAAAUUAAUAUUUUUUUAAGUAUUUCUUGAUUGCUUUGAUAUGUUGGUGUAAAAAAUUAAAAAAUAUUAUUUUAAUGUAAUUUUAAGAUAAAACCAUUUUAAAAAACAUUUCCUAUCAUUCUACCACCGAAUAUGCUCUUAAAGCUAUGAUUUGUGUUGCUGAUCCUUAUAGAACACUGUUUCUUUAAUCUAUACCUUGUCUUUUUGGCAGGCUAUAAUUUAUAAAAAAGAAAUUCCAAAUCCUCAUGAAAAAUUAUGUGGUUGAAGAUAAUCAUGAGUCUUUCAUUUCAAUUGUAGUUUCGUUGACCAAUUAACAGGAUUGUCAUGGAAGUCAAUUAAACAGCCAAGCGGUUUGUUUGUUGUUCUAAUAUAAUCCGAGUUGUUGAUUAUCAGAUUUGUCGUUUUGUUUUCCCAUAAACCUAAUUGAAUAAGUUAAGGAUCCUGGUUAGGUAGUCUUAAUUCGUUUCAGUGACGGUUUCGUGUAAUAAAUAUUGUUUUUUAAAUUGUUUUUUUUAUAUAUUAUUUUUAAUAUCAGCAUAUUCAAAAAAUAUUAAAAUACAAAAUAAUAAUUUAAAACUAAAAAAAUUCAAUAAUUUCUUGAAAUAUGGCUAAAAAAACCUUUAAUAUAAACAAACAAUUUAAUCAUGGGCAGGAAUAAUUUAAGCGGGUGAAAUAACUUUUUUAAGCGAUGUGGGAUGAUUUACAUCGAUUGAGCUGUAGCUAAGGCACCGUAGGUCAAGGAGUGGUGUGGUGUAUGCUAAAAAAGAAAUUGUAAAGAAUAUCCCGAGUUUGCACUUUGCAAUGUGGAUGGAGGUUGAAAUUAAAAAUAAAAAUCAAAAGUCAAAUAAUAAACUAAUAAAACACACUGUAGGCAGCCAGGGUACCAUCUCAUUCGAGCUGGAAUUAGAGUAUUCUAAACAUUCAACUCACAACUUUAUGGUGCAAAUGGUAUGUGGGAUAAUGAAGCCUCUCACAACUGAUUUGAUUAAGAGAGAGAAUUUUUUGUUCGGUUUAAUUUUAUAUUGAAAUGAAGCCUCUCACAACUGAUUUUUUGUUCGGUUUAAUUCUAAGAAAGUAAUGGAUUGUUACGCAUAAUAAUCAUGUGAAUGCUGAAAAGAUUUAACAACUAAAUUGAAUAUAUAACAAAGUUUAAUUAAGUACUUUGUUGAAGUUUUUGAAAGAUAAAGAUUGAACUAAACUAUCGUCUUCAACUCAAUCUUGCUACUAAUCUUGCUACUAUUAUUAUCAAAUAAUCAUCUUAACCCAACAACUUAAGCUAUUAGGUGAGGUCUUAGAAUAUAACACAUCCCCUCAAAUAAAAAUCUUUUGGGCUUAAAACUUGUACAUGCUUAUAUUAUCUUAUGCUUGAUUUUUAUCAAAUAAAUGGAGAUGGUGAGAUUCGAACUCGUGACUACUUGGUCAUCAAGACUCUGAUACCAUGUCAAAGAACUAUCCCAACUCAAUAGCUUAAACUAUUACAGAAUAUAUAAUUUAUAUUAUUCUCUAGCAGUAAUUGCCCACCAUCUUCCCUUUUUAGCCAUAAAUAAUCUUAAAAAACCACGAAACACUUCUCUUGGACUAAAAAAAAUAUAUAAAUUUUAAAAUCCAUUUUAAAUAACCAAUAAAAAAACUAAUUUGAAAUUUAUCAAUGAGAUUUUUUUUUUUAAAGCUAGCUUUUGCAUCCAUGGUUUUUUUUUUGUUUCCAUAAGAUAUUGGAUUUACUUUUUUAAAAAUGUCAGCUAGCCUAACCAUUAAAUAUAUAAAAAAAUAUUGAAAUGAAAUUCAGAUCUGAUAUGUUCCUUUAAAAAAAUAUGUUACUUUUUAAAAUUUAUAAUUAUAUACUUUUUGUUUAACUGGCUUGGUUUAAUUAGUUUUAGCUUUUUGAAAUUAAAACCGAACCAAACAUGAAUAUGAUAAUUACAAAAAAAAAUCAUCGUAAAAAACCAAAAACACUGCUUGUUCUUCAAUUUAAUUUUUUUUAUUUUAAGGAUACUUUUUUGUUUUACUGUGCAUUUUUUUACUUUGUCAAAUAUCAAAUUGCUUCUAUCACAGUGAAAAUACUAAAAUAUCCUUUAAUAUCAGGUUUUUAUUUUUUUAUUUUCAUAGGUAUUUGGAUUUUUUCACCAUGCAAUGAAAAUAAAAAAAAUAAUAACAAUAAAUCUGCAGCUAUUGCAAAGAUGUUUAGUUUUUUUAAUAGGUAAAAUUGUAACCAUGCAAUUUAUAAAUUAUCCAUACAAAAAUAACAAGAAGAAGAAAUGGUGCCGGUCCAACCCAACCCUUUUGUUACCACCAAAUCUUGUCGCGAGAAAACGUUACAUGGAAUUUGAUAUCUUUAAGUGCUCAUUCAAGGCUCUUUAGUCCCCUCAGCAACAAAAAAUUUCUCUUUCAUCUCUCUUCCUAGCUACUUCCCUCCCUCUUAAAACCCUCUCUCUCUCAACCUCCAUUACCACCCAAACUAUACUCUAUCACGCUAGACAGAGGGAGAGGUUUUACGAGGUUUUUAAACAGCACCCUUUUGAUACAUCUCUUCUUUGAAUCAAUAACCAAACCAGUUUCCCUUCCAUCUAUUUUUUUUUGGUCAAUUACACUCACAUGCACCGUUAACACAAGCAAGCAACCCGUUGUAGAUAUACACCCUUUUGUACCUUUUUUUUACUGGGUUUGCAGUGUUGAAUUGAACAAUGAAGGGCGAGGAUCAAGCGAGGUCUUUGUUUGGGAUUUCUUUAUCCGAUCGGCCUAAAUGGCAACAGUUUCUUAUUUGCUCUUCUGGGUUCUUCUUUGGCUAUCUCAUUAAUGGCGUCUGCGAGGUUUGUUUUUGACCUUUAUCACUGUUUAUCGUCUUGGGAUUUUUUAUAAAGUGUGGAGAUGUUGUUUGUUUCUUUUUUUCACUUCGAUGGCCAAUUGUUCUUGUUUUUCUUUUCUUUUUGGUGUAAUUGGUUAAAUUGUUAUGUUGUGAGCAUCGAUUUAUUUCUAAGGUUUUUGCUAUACUCUGUUCGAUUGCUGAGAUUGAAACUAACGGAAAGCAAAGCUUUUUAGAUCUUGGAUUUAAUCGAUGACAAAGUCUCAUGAUUUUUGUUUUCUCUGCAACCAAACAGAGGUGGCCGUGUGCGUUUUAAUUUUUUGUUUUUUAAAGUUUACCAAGUCAACUGUCUUCUUAUGGUCAUUAUUUUGCUAAAAAGAUUUUUCUAAAAAGAUUUUUCUUUUCUGGGUGUUCCUUGUAUACUGUUUUAUUCGUUUUGACCUUAAAUUAUGAAAAUCGAAUAUUACAAUAUUGGUAAAUUUCUGGUUGGUUUUUGUUUGCUUCUCAUUUUUGAACCUUUGAUCUGAUCAUUGACAUUUCGCAUCUUUCAUUGGCUAAUUCCAGGAAUAUGUGUAUAAUCGGCUUCAAUUCAGGUACAUCACCACCGAUAGUAUUUUCUAGUUUUGUUCUGUCAUGUAGUAAUUCUCAUGCAUGUUUGUUUAUUCUUUUGAGUUUUCAGCUAUGGUUGGUAUUUCACAUUUGUACAAGGAUUUGUGUACUUGGUGCUUAUAUACUUGCAGGGUUUUACCCCUAAGCAAAUGGUGAAUCCAUGGAAAACUUAUUGGAAACUCUCUGCUGUUCUUAUGGGUUCUCAUGGGCUGACUAAGGGGUCCCUGGCCUUUCUCAAUUAUCCAGCUCAAAUCAUGUUCAAAUCCACCAAGGUAAACUCAGUUCUUAUCAACCUCUUCUUCUUUAAACUUAUAUUCAUGUCUUCUAAUCUGAUGUCUCGGUCGUGAAAGGUUUUGUUCUUUUUUUAAAAAGAUUUAUGUACAUAUGGAAGUAAUAUUUAAUUGAACUUAUGUUGCUUGCAUUUGAAUACGUGGAAAUCUUGAAGAAAUUUAAGAUGGAUCUUGUCUCUUAUUCUGUAAUUUGUGAGUUUUGGUGAUUUUGAGAAUCUAGGUACUGCCAGUUAUGGUAAUGGGCGCCUUUAUUCCAGGAUUGAGAAGAAAAUAUCCAUUUCAUGAAUACAUAUCAGCCCUGCUUCUGGUCAUCGGUCUGAUCCUUUUCACCUUGGCAGAUGCCCAAACAUCGCCAAAUUUUAGCAUAAUUGGUGUCCUGAUGAUUUCUGGUGCUUUAAUUAUGGAUUCUUUAAUGGGUAAUUUGCAAGAAGCAAUAUUUACCAUGAAUCCUGACACCACUCAGGUGAUCUCAAUAUUCUGUUGGUACAUAAAUGCAAAAUUGAUUUGGCAAAAAAUAGUAUCCCAUUAGGCUUUUUUUUUUCCUUGACAGAUCGAGGUGCUGUUCUGCUCGACAGUUGUUGGAUUGCCUUUCUUGCUUCCUCCGAUGAUCCUGACUGGAGAGCUGUUUAAGGCUUGGAAAUCUUGUGCUCAAGUAAAGACCUAUGCUCUUACAAGUUUUUGUCAUCUUGCAUGCACUUAUGAAUUGAUUUUAAAAGAAAUCCUUCGUGUACAUGUGGGGCUACAAUGAAAAUGGUUGGGGUCAAGUUACACUUAACGUGCCGGGUAUGCACAAUCGAAGGAAGUUCCUAGGAGAAAUCAAUGAUUUAGUGGUUGAAAGUCCACUUCAUUUAUUUAAAUGAUGAAUACCGUCCCCCCUGACGUAGUCAAACCUCUAGUGGGGUUAUUUUCUAACAAGCUUCUCUACUGGGGACAUAACUUGCUUUAAAAAAUUAGGAAUUCUGUACUAAAGUAUUGAUAAGGGGGGAGUGAAAUACUUAUUGAUUGACAAGUAAAGAAUUUAUGUUACCAAGAAGUUUGUUUGGUUUCAGGGAAGACAGUUCAUGAGUUCUUUUCUGGUCAAUUGAACAUAAAAACAGAUUUAAGAUUUUUGUUACUCCAGUUACUUGUUCUCCUGGUAUAACGUAUUUAAAAUAAAUGAUCUACUAUCAGAAAUCCAGAUUGUCACUGCCUUAAAUGUCUAAUAUUAUUCCUUUUGAUGAUUACUACAAAUUUUAUUUCUAUUGCCAAGAUCCUUUGAUCAUUGCUGCUUUAUGUAUUGCAGCAUCCUUACGUGUAUGGGGUGUUAGUAUUUGAAGCCAUGGCCACAUUCAUUGGCCAAAUUUCUGUUCUAUCCCUCAUUGCCAUUUUUGGGGCUGCUACGACUGCCAUGGUAGGUCUAUUUUUCUCCCCUCUGGAUAGCUGUAAACCCUGCAUUUUGUUCCCGACUUCAACAUGUCUUGUAUCGGAAUAUUUCACUUGGAAGCCUAAUGGGGGAUUCAAUAGCUUUUUAAACAAGAUUCAAAAUGAGCUAAUCGGAAAUAUUUCCACCAUCUUAUUAUAGGAUCAUGUUUUAGCGUUCUACAUGAUAUAUCUAACUGUUGGGUUCUGAUUUGUACUGGCAUGCAGAUAACAACUGCUAGAAAGGCAGUUACCUUGUUGCUGUCAUAUAUGAUAUUCACAAAGCCAUUAACUGAGCAGCAUGGAUCAGGGCUGCUGCUCAUCGCCAUGGGAAUUAUAUUGAAGAUGGUUCCUAUAGAUUAUAAACCCCCCAGUAGGAGUGCACCUAGAAAUGGGAAGUCCCAUUUUAAAGAAGAGAAAAGUCAAGCAGAUAGUAGGAAAGGUGAAGGAGAUGAAGAAAAAAGGCCCUUAGUUUGAAGACCAAGGUCAUAGAUUUUUUUGUUCUUAUUUGUAAUUUUUUCCUCGAAUUUGUUCUUGGUUUCUCAUUAAACCCAGGAAGGGCAUGGGGGAUAGGAAUAAGAAAAGUAUAUCAGGUCAGGAAAGAAAAGAGAGAAUAGACAUGCUAGCUACUUGUAAUGUAAAAUUUCAGUGGUGAAACUGAUUUACCUUUCUAUGUUUUUGAAAUUGAAAUACAAGAGCAAUGUUCUCUUUCUUUUUGUGGCUCGAUAUGGCAUGCCCUCUUGCAUAGUUUGAUGUUUAAUACAGAAAUAUAUGGAGAUUAAAGAGAUGGUUGCCUCCACAUGUGAACUUGUCUCAAAACCAUUUUGAAGCCAAUGUCAACUGGUAGGGCAACCGCUCCUCGGCAGCUAAUGGUUGAUGUCGAGGAUCCUCCUCGUAAUGGCUGGCAAUUUGUUCCAUGGAAGUUUCAAAUACAGAGACACAGAAGUGGCCCAUCGAAUGAUCGAAUGCCCCGAGGAGCGACAUCCCAUCCCAUCGUUCUCCUGAUUUUUGUCAAGAAAGUGUGUUGCUGCUCCACGCAAAUUAUUAAUCGAAGUUAUUAUAGUGAUGUGUUAGCAUGAAAGCAUGGUUUCUCUGCCUCGAGAAAUUUUAUCAUCAUGGAUAUAUUUAGAUUAGCUUUUGUCAGCUCAAUUAAAUACUUUCCUCGUCUCAUUUAGGCAUACCAACCGCCUUGAACUGUUUUCAAGGAUUAUUUUUAUUUUUAUUUUUAUUUUUUCACAAACUUCCCUCCAGUUGGAAUCCGAAAUGGAACAAUGUAGGAAAAAUCUCAAUUUAGUCCCAAACCUAUAAAACUUAUCAAUUAGGUCUUACAUUUAUCGCUUGUGUCCUUUUGUCAAUUUAUUUUAAUAAUUUAAGUCUAAUUGCAUAUUUUAUGCUCUAAAAUGAUUUUCCAUCGACAUUAAACUUUUAUGUCAAAUGUGCUUAUUUAUGCACUAAAAUGGCAUAAUUUGAAAAAAAAAUAAAAACAAGUAUUUAUGAGCACUAAUAAAAAGACUUGAUCGAUAAUUUUUGAGAUGUAAAUGAAAAAAUCUAUAAAUUCAAGACUCAAUUGAAAAUGAGUAUAAACUUGGGACUAAAUUGAGGUUUUUAAGAUAAUUUAUAUUCACAAGCCUUAUUAAAUCAAUCAGUUUCAGUUCUGCUCUCAAGAACUUUAUUCCCCCCCCUAAUUUCAUAGGCUCAAAGCCUAUCCGAUAAGCUGGUAAAAUUUGUAAAUAUUUACAAAUUUUAGAAUUUUAAUAUAUUAAUAUAAAAUAUAAUUUUAUUUCAAAAAAAUUAAAUAAAAUAUUUUAAAAAACAACAAAAAAACAAAAAUUAAUUCCUUCAGCAAACUGUAAUGGUGGGGGCAUAAAAUAGCACGAUGCACAUGGGCCAUGUGCCUACAAUAUCCAACGGCCCCAGUUGAAAUUUAGUUCCCCACGUGAUCAGACGGUCACAAUCACCUCACUUUUUUAUUAAAUUAAUCUCCAAAUUUUGAAAAAGAUAGCAUCAUCAUUCAUCACCAUUAACCAAAAGCCCCAAAAAGAAAAUUGAAAAAUAAUUCAAAAGCAAGAAAAACCCUAUUUUGGUUCCCUUUCUCUCCUUGCAGCUUUUCAAGAAAAGAAGAAAUCAUGAAAGGAGCGAAACGAUUUGCCGCUUCAGACCCAGUCCCUGACUCGAAUGACACGGCAGUGAGUUUCUUAAAGAAAACCCUAAUUUUAUUCUACUUGAAUGUCUUGUUUACUUGAUAAAGGAUAUGCUUAUUUGUGCUUUUAGAAAAAAAAAACAUUUCUGUAGUUCUGCUUUGGUUUUGUAAUAAUGAAGUUUGGAUUUUGAAUUGCGGGCUGUAGCUUAAAUUGGGAUUUUGAAUUUAGUUUUGAGCUUUUGAGGAAUUUAGUGCUUUAAUUGAUAUUUUUUUAAUGAUAAAAUGAAAUUAGAGCUAAAAAUUUAGUUCUUUUUGUUUCUAGACGGUCUAUGUAUUUUAUGUCAAUGCAUUUUAAGGAGCUUUAGUGAGAUUCUUGGUUGCAUUUGUUCGUAUCUUUGAAUUUUUAAUUGAGCUCAUUGUGUAGGCAAAAUCAAAACUACGAUUCCAUAUCAACUUAGUUUUUGUUAUUUUCAAUGCUGGCUUUUGUACUUUUUCAUGGAAAGAAUAAUUUAUUUUACAUCUUUUUGAUAUUGACCUCCAAUCAUAUUUUAGAGGCUGAUUGUGCAACACUCAAUAUGGUUGCAGUUAAGGAAUAAGAGAAUAAUGGAAGGAUCGCUAUUUGAUAUUCAUAGACCUGAACAAUCUCAGCAACAAUCGACUCCAUUGCCACCGUUGGAUGCAAAACGGGCUGCUUCAUCACAGCAGUAUGUGAGAGCUCUCAAUAACCAAUUUGCCAGGUCCAUUUCUUUCUUUGUAUUUGAACAACUUUGCGUCUUCAGUUAUUAUCUGGUCAACUUAGUUUCUGCUUCAAUGAUUAAUUUGGAUGAAGAUGAUGCGUUCUCUUGUUUGUGUAACCCCCCCCCCCCUCCGAAAUUAUAGGCUUAAUUUCUGGGACUUCUUUCAAUUUUGAAUAGUUGGGUUCAAACGCAACUGAAGAACCAUCCUGAUGAACUCUGGGAAGAUGGGAUUCGAGAUUACCUUGCUCAUGCUUCAAACAUUAUGGUAACAUUUAACAUCCUUUAGUAUGCAUUAAAGGGGAUAUGCAUGCACCCAUCUUUAUAUUGUAAAAUGCAUUUAUAAAAGCUUGAUCAUCUCUCUAAUUGCAGGAGAAGUUUAGUGAUGUUGUCAACUGGCUUAAAGCAAAUGCUGUAAAAGGAGGGCCUGUUGCUGAUUCUCUUCGAGCUGAAAAGAAAUUAGUGCCUGAAAUAAAGAGUAAUGAGAGCAAAUUACUUCAAGAAAAAACCGGGUUUGCUUUACCGAGUACCAGUACAAGCUUUACAAGUUCCUGGAGCUCUGGUGUCUUUUCUGCCAACCAAAGUUCUGGAGGAGUAUCAUCUAGUAGCCAAAGCUCUAGUUUAUUCUCCAAUGGUCAAAGUUCUGGUUCAUUAUUAUCGAACAAUCCAAGUUCUGUUUUGUCCUCAAACAACCAAAGCUCUGGAUUUUUCUCGAACAUUCAAAGCCCUGGCCUCUUGUCCAACAACCAAAGCUCUGGAUUUUUCUCGAACAUUCAAAGCCCUGGCCUCUUGUCCAACAAUCAAAGCUCUGGAGCAUUCUCCAACAGCCAGAGUUUAGGAGCACUCUCCAACAGUCAAACACCUUUCUCCUUUAAUCAAAGCUCUGGAACAUUCUCCAACAGCCAAAGUUUAGGAGCACUCCCCAACACUCAAACAUCUUUCUUGUUUGGUAGGUUUUGUACUGCUUUACUUCAAUGCUACACAGGUCAUAAAUUCACACCAGUAGUAGUAAGUCGCUAAGAUGGAUUAUGUGCCAGAGAAAAUGGAAAAAUACAUUAGUGACAUUGGAAAUGUUUGCCAUGCUCAAGUAGGACCUAUAAGUGAGUCUUGGUACUAGUUUGAUCAUCUAGAUGAAGAUAGUCCUUUAAAGGUUACAAAAUUUCUGUGAUAUUGUGAACUGGACUGUGAAAGGUAUUCCCAUAAGACCCACCAGACCUUGCUACAUGCACCUUGGUGUCUAAUGGUGUGGCAAUAUAGUCUAGAGAGUGGGUGAAGGAAAGUCAAUAUGAGUUGACUGUUCACAACUAGAGAGUACUGAAUUCAGAACUCUUGUAGAUGGGAUGUUGACACAACGUAUAGCGUGGAUAGAAGCUCAGGUUCUCAAGCCCUAAGGUUAUACACCCAAGCUGUAGAGAAAUUUAGAGAAAACUCUAAAAUUCUGAAUCUGAAUCUCAAAAUAAACUAGACAUCCCUGUUUAUAUUAGUUAGAUCUAAAAUCCUUUAUCGAAAUGAUUACUAGUUAAAACUUACUUAACUGAUAGAAUACAUUUAGCAUUAGGAUUCCUAAAUAGUAAAACAUUAAUUAAAUUAAAAUUUCUAAUCUAAACAAGAUAAAACAAUCCAAAUACAAGAAAGUAAAUAAAGACAAUCCCGCAUAAUAACUUUUGUGCCUUAUUUGAAGGCCUUUUGGAUCUCCAAUUAUCGUGAACUUUUAACCUAUUAGGGCUUUUAGAAUCUUCUGUUAAAAUUUUAGCUCUGUUAAAAUUUCAACUCAAUCUAAUGGGGAUUAGAAGUUAUGCUUUAUUUACCAAAACUUCGUCUUAGACACUUCUUAAUCUCUCAAAACCUAAAAAUCUUAACUGUUAAUGAAACAAUACUAUAAACAUUAUUAUGCCAAGAAUAUUGAAGAACUCUCCCCCACGUCAGUCGCUUUUACUUUUGAGAAACUCGGCCUCGAGUUAUUUGUCAAGAAUUGAACUUUUCUAUUCCAAAAGAACAAAUACUUUGGAUAUAGUAUUUUAGCAAACAUAUUCACGAAGUAGCGUGUCUUUGACCUGUGAACUUCAAAAUUUAAGUUAUGAUGUGUGCAUGCUAAAGAAAAAUCCAUAUCUAAUGUUAUACUCACUAUUCCUAUGAAAUCUCCACCUUUAGUUCCUUCACACAUUUGUUUACUUAAAACUUGACCUUUUCAUCAUCUAUGACCUACAAUAUUUCAACCUUUGAAUAUAAAGAAACUUCGAGAUAAUCUUUCAUAAUAUCUUUAGGAAAAUUGUCAGAAAUUACCAUGUCCUCCAUAUCCUUACCUGCGAGAUCUUCAUUCUUGAUUGAAAGAUCAUCAUUAGCCACUAUCUUCUCCAACUUAAGGUUAAAAGACUAAAACUGUUUGUCAGCACCCUCUUUGGUCAUGUUAUCUUCAACAUGAUUAGAUAACUUUGAAAUUUUGCUUUUACCAAAUUCCUCCACAUAGACAAAUGAUUGUCUAGGUGGAAUUUCAGGAAUAGGUCAUAGGUAAGGUUAGCCUCGAGGUAAGUCUCCAAGUAUGUUCCUCUUCUCUUUGUGAUUCCUGUUUGUGUCACCCUUUAGCUGAUUUAGACCUGUUAUGGCUUGCUCCAAUCAAUCCAUUCUCCGUUCUUAAUCUGCCCAUGAGCCUGCACAACGCUACAGUGGGUCUCCACUCCUACAUUGCGAAGUGGGUUGCUACUGUCUCCAUCCAUCAAAGAGGUCAAAUUGCUCUGAUACCAAUUGACACGGCAUAUAGUGUGGAUUGAAGUUGGGAUUCUCAAGCUCUAAGGUUAAAGACCUAAGUUGUAGAGAAAUUUAUAGAAAAUUCUUUGAUAUUUUAUUAAAAGUCUGAAUAGUUUGAAACUGAGUCUCAAAAUUAACUAGACAUCUUUAUUUAUAUUAGUUAGAUAAAAAAUCCUUUAUAGGAAAGGAUUCCUAGUUAAAACUAAAAUCCUUUAUAGGAAAGGAUUUCUAAUUAAAACUUAUCUAACUAAUAGAAUCCAUCUAGGAUUAGAAUUUCCAGAGAGUAAAAUAUUAAUUAAAUUAAAAGGCCUAAUCUAAAUAGAGAAAAAGAAUUCAAACACAACAAGGCAAAUAAAAACAAUCUCGAAAAGUAACUUUCGAGAUUUAUUUGAAGGCCUUUCUGAUCUCCGAUCAUCAUAAAAUUUAAACCAAUUGAAAACAAGGCCUUCAAAAUUUUCUAUUAAAAUUUCAGUUCGAUCCAACAGUCGGAUUAAAAGUUAUGUCUGAUUUACCACAUUGUUUCUUGGACUCUUCUUAAACUCUUCAAAACCUAAAAAUUGUAACAAUUAAUGAAAUAAUGCGAUAAACAUUACUAUGUCAAGAAUAUUUUAGUUAAUAAGAUACAAAGAUGCAGAUAUGACAAUUCGUUAGUGAUUCUGCUGUGAUUUUUUUAUAUAGAUUAUAGUCUCAUAUGUUGCUUUUGUGGAAGUGACAUGAAAUCUGACUUCUUCUUUCUUUUUUUUAAUUUUAGGAGGCCAAAGCUCCAUCCCCGCAAACCAUAACACUGCAGAUGAUGCGGAUGAUGGUGAGAGAAAGAAGAAUUGCCUUUUCAUUGUUUGAGAUUCUCUUAAGCCAUUACUUUAAGUUAAACCUGCUAUGCAUUUUAUGAUUAUCAUCAAUUGACUCCUUUCUUGUGCAUGUAUGCUUUAUUUGAGAUAAUCAUGUUAUGUGCAUAAGUGUGAACUGCGCUUCUUAUCUGUUUCACAUACUGCUAGUUGAAAUUUGGUUUCAAGUCUUCAAAAAAUUGGCAUGUUGUGAAUACCUUCUUGUUGGUUCCUUUUGGAAAAUUGGAUCAGAGACUUGUGCAGGCUAUUAGUAUUGUAAGGUAUUGAGUUUAUUCAAUUGCAAGCCUGAUGCUUUUCAAGAUAUAAAGGAACAUGCUGCAAAUGUAGAAAUCAAUUUUGAUCUGUGGUUUUAUGUCUGAUUGCGGAGUCCUUUUUUCUCAACUUUUGAGACCAUGGAACUACCACUCUUAAUAGAUUAGAUUUUCACUUUGAACUUGGAUAUAAAAUAUUGGAAGAGGAUAGUUGAGUGUAUUAAGGUAACUCUUGGGAGUUUACUGUAUUUCUGAGAGUAUUUGUUGUUUUUACUUUUUCUCUACAGCAUAAGCAGACAAAAUAGUUGUUCUUUUUUACUGGAAAUGAAGACAUUAAUCAUUAAACUAUCAAUUCCUAUAUUCCUUGGAUUUGAUCUGUUGUGUUAUAUAUAUAUGAAAUUUUAAUGUUUCUAUCCUGAUUAUUCAGUCAACUGAAUGGUCUCUCUGCUCUGUGAAGUUUGUGCUUUCAUGAUGUUGGUCUGCUUUACUGGUUCUAGCUCUGAUCCAUUUUGAAGCUGGAUUUGCACAGGUUGUUUGCAUGUUUAUUAGAACUUUGAAAUCUUAAAUGGUAGACAGUUCUUUUUUCAUAUUAUUUCGAUAAUAUUCCUUGUAGCCUGGAA
rnacentral:lncRNA from 1 species